GCUAUCUAAAACACAUGUCACUUUGUCAUGUAGUUUUCUGCUUGUCAAAAGUAUCUGUCCUGCUUUUGUGCCACCCAAGGUAUUUCCAGUUAUUUUAGGAUUUGUAAAGAUUCUUAACCUCUCGUUAAAAUAAUAACAGAACAGAACUGGCAUGAAUCUUAGUGCUCUCAUGAUACAGCCCUGCUAAGUUACCUGUAAAUUCAUUUAAAAGUGUGUUAGAGCUUGGAAGAGUCACAUGUUUUGGUUGAGUUAUUGUGUGAUAGACAGAUUGCUGCCUAGAAGUUUAAGAACUGCUUCAGGAAAUAACUAGUUUGGGGCCGGGGCUGUAGUUCAGUUUGUUGAUUGCUUGCCUAGAUACACAAAGCCCUGGGUUUGAUUCCUAGCACUAUGUAAAUUAAGUGUAUUAGUGCAUGCCUGUAAUCCCAGGACUGGGUUGGCCAAGGUGUGAGAGUCAGGAGUUCAAGGCCUUCAUUACAUAGGCAGUUUGAAGCCAAUCUAGAAUGUCUGAUGUCCUACUUCAAAAAAAACAACCCCCCCCCCCAAAUUGGCUGACUCUACUGUUCAAGAAAUUGAAAAAGUGAUUUUAAAAAGAACAAAACAAACCCAUCUGACCUCUCAAGUUAUAUGUGAGGCUUGAGUGGCUUUACAGGGGACUGUUACUAAAACAUAAAGCAAAGAGCAUUACAUUUUCACGUGAAUGUUUCCAGACCGUGGAAAAUAAGGAAAGACUUCCCAACUAAGUCUACACAAAAGACCUCUGAACCCUCUUAUUUAAAGCAAAUAGAGUCAGAAGGUAGAUGGUAGGUGGCUCUCAGUCAGGAGCAUAGAGUUCAACCUUUAAGACGUCAUUAGCAGAUCAAAUCCAACCAUAAAUAAGAGAAGUAAAACAUUGCAAGUUCUGUGUUGCCUGUAUGUAGAGAUGGCUUAAUAUUAGAAAAUCUGUAAAUGUAAUUUACCGUGUAACAUGAUGAAAGUUACAUGAUAAUCCUUGUGAGAAGUCAAAGACUCACCAAUGAAAGUUUUAAAAUUUAAUUUUGCAUCAAAUAAUAUCAGAAGUAGGUGUGUGGGAUGGUGGGUGUGUGGGAUGGUGGGUGUGAUUUUCUGUCAUUUCCAAAAUUGCUUUGUAGUCGGAAAUGUUCUUGUAUAUAUUUCUGCUUGUACAUAUGUAAAGAUAAGUAUGCAUUUGUAGCAGUAGGAAUUUUAUUCCAAUUAUAUUAAAUGUAACUUUGGACUUUAAAGAGAUGAAAAGUAAAAUAUAAUUUAAUCCAGAUUUUAUUUUUUAUAAACUAAUGGUUUUGCCAUAAAAAUUAUAUUCUAAACUUAUUAAUAUUUUUUGUUGUUGUUGCUAUUUUGUUUAUUUGUGAUAAAGUCUUAUGUAUUAACCAGGGUUAAUUCCCCUUCUCUCUAACCUGAUUCCCCUGUCUCUACCUCCCAAGCUGGGAUUACAGACAUCUGUUAUCAUGUUCAGCUUCAAGUCAGUUUUGAGUGUAAGUGAAGGAAUAAUGAAUUGUUAGCUCUUCUUAGUUUAGUAAGAUCACGGCAUAAGGAUUUGUAGUAGUAUUUAGGCACUUUAAAAAUUAAAAUUUAUUAUUAGUAUGUGUAUGACAUGUGUAGUCAGAAGGAUGAUUUUGUGGAGUCAGGUGAAUUCCAGCCGUCAGACCCAUGUCAUCAGGCUAUGUGGUAAAUGUUCUCCUCACUGAGCCAUCUCUAGGGCUACUUUUUUAAAAAGGUUUGUCAGUGUGUAUAUACUGUGUGUGCGUGCGUGCGUGUUAGUGUAAAUGUGGGUACAUGAGUGUGUGCACAUGUGGAGACCCUGACUAAUGCUGGGAGUUUCUUCGGUGGAUCCUGUUCUCUCCACUGAACCCAGAGCUCACUGAUACGGUGAGUCUAGCUAGCCAGGAGGCCAUCUUUGUCUCAGUGCUGGGAUUGCAGGUGGGCUACCACGCUUACCUGGUGUUCACUUGGUUGUGGGGUUCUGAGCUCUGGCCCACAAGCUUGCACAGCUUUAUGCACUAAGCCAGCUCCCCAGCUGGAUUCAGGCAUUCUGAUUGUAAAAUACUAAUAAUAUUGGGGCUAUGAAUAAAAUUAAUAAAAUGAAACAUUCUUUUGUUGAAUGAGAUAAUACACAAGUUCUUGCCAGGCAUUCUCCUCUUUCUUCCUCCCAUGGUGCCACAGUAACAUUGGGACUAGAGAUGUCUGCAACCGUGUGUGUCUUUACCUGGGUCAGUCGGUAGCAAAAUGACACUGAAGGAAACAAUCAACAGGGAUGGGAGAAAAGAGCUUCACGCUCUGACUCUGUACUGAAGAGCAUCUGGUUAAGAGUGGAGCAAUGGAUCCAUAUCAGCAUUUCUCACAAGAAGAGCAAACCAUCAACAAUGCACAGACUGUCCAAAGGCUGAGGGAAGCUGGCUGGGUAAAGGCCCUGGGUUCCCAUCACACGCAGAACCCAGGAGUGUGUGUGGUGAUGGUGGUGGUGGUGGGGACAUAUGCACGUGUUUGUGUGCUGCUCAUGUGUGCACAUACAUGUUGAGUGAGACCAGAGGUUGAUAGUCCAUAUUUUCUUUUAUAUAUAUAAAAAAGCUCUCUUUCUUAUAAAAGCUUUUGGCAUUUCUGUAUUUAUUUUUUUAUUUAGAAGGAACAUGCAUAUGGAAGUUAAAGGACGACUUGGCAGAAUAUUUUCUCCUUCACCAUGUGGUCUCUGGGGAUUGAACUCAGGUCACUGGGCUUGGUGGCAAGUGCUUUAUCCACUGAGACAUCUUGCAGGCCCUCCACUUAAUAUGUUAUACACUGUUAAUUAUUUUGUGUGUGUGUGUUCACUUUCCUGUAUGCUAUGUCAUAUGUAUGGAAAGCAGAGGACAACUUGUGGGAGUCAGUUUUUCUACUGUGUGGAUCCUGGGAACUGAACUCAAGCGCCAUGUUUGGCAGCAGGCACCUUUACUCACCAAACCAUAUUGCCAGCUCACUCAACCUUGAUUUUUGAGCUAGUCUGUCAUUGAUUCUUUAGGAAUCCACUUGUCUUUGCUUCUUCAGUGUUAGGGCUUUUACUUGGGCCUGGGGGAUCUGAGUCUGAGCCUCAUGCUGUCUUCUCAGUCUGAAAUAUUCACAAACAUUUGAAAUCAUUCUUGUCUUCUCAUGAGACAAUGUUUGAGUCCUAACAGGACUGUGAGUGCAUCUGAAUUUGUACUGUUAUUGAUGAACACAGGUAUAGUUUGUGAUAAUUAAUUGGUUUGACACGUGAUCAUUAUGAGAUUAAUUACUAUAUAAUAGCAGCUUAUUUGUAUUUAUAUGGUCCUUUCACCAUUAUUUGUAGGCAUUUAAUGUGAUGGAUUAGCCUCAUACUUAUUAUUUUUAUAUAUAAAUAUGGUUUGUGGAAAACGACUCUAAACUGAGCACACCUGUAGUCUCAUCAGUAGGGAACCUGCAGCAGGAGGAUUGCCAUGAGACCCAGGUCAGAAUGGGCUACAUAGUGACGUCCUGUCUCAGAAGCAACAGUAAGAAGAUUGUGCUCUCUCCGUUAAAUAAAGGAUUAUCUACCUAUGUCAAACAACAACUUUAAAAAUGCUUAUGUUUUAACCAGAUGAGGGAAGAGGGAAGUCGGGGCAGAACAGUUAGGGCUCAGGCGUUGACCCAGUUUUAUGGCGGCUUUGUAUAAUCAGUUGUGGAAUAGGGAAUAUUUUGGAUCACUUGAAUAAAACCUCUUCCAUUGCUUCCCAUGCUUUAGAUCUGAAUUAGAGGCUGGAGAUUGAUUUUGGGUUGUUUCCUCUAUUUCUUCUUCUGUUGUUGUUGUUUUAAUUUGUUUGGCGUGUGACUUGGGGGUUUGUUCUCUCAUUGCAUGAUGUGGAAACUCAGGUCAUCAGGCUUAGUGGCAGGUGCCUUUCCUUCUACUCUCAGUUUUUGAGACCGGGCUGUUACUCAACCUGGAUCUUUGCAUUUCAGGGGCCAGGUUCCUUGCAGCCCCCUGUCUCUGCUUCUGCAGUGCUCGAGGUACAGAUGUCUACUGCCACAUCUGGGUUUUACAUAGGUGCUGGAGUUUAGAACUUGGGUCCUCCUGCUUUCACAGCAAGCCAUUUAACCCACUGAGCCAUAUUGCCAUCUCCCCAUGGGGGAAUGUUUUAACUAAAAAUGCAUCUAAGUAGAUUUAUAUGAGGAUAUAACUAUAGUAGCAUACAAAUACAGAUGAGCCUGUAUCACAGUUUCUAUUAGCAUUUUACAUAAAAGAGAAAAUUUGCAGCUCAGAUGAUUGAAAUAGAGUAGUGUUUGGAGGUGCAGGUGAUCUCCCCACCCAGUACUUCUAUUUCUUACUAAGUAAUAUUCUCAGGAGUAACAAAGAUCAUUCCUCUCUUUUUUCCUAGGCCAGGAGCAGCAGGGUGAAGGUUUUCCCUAGGUUGGGUUUAUGUAUAUUAAACCCAACAGAAAUGACUUCUGUAUACAUCAUUUUUAUUAGAAGCAAAGCAGUUGUGUCCUGUAAUUCACAAUGAGAAGAGCCAUUUCACUCUUUGGCAUGGUCUCAUCUCUCGGGUUCUUUCUUUUUUUUUUUUUUUUUUUUUUUUUUUUUUCGGAGCUGGGGACCGAACCCAGGGCCUUGCUAGGGCCUUGCUCUUGCUAGGCAAGCGCUCUACCACUGAGCUAAAUCCCCAACCCCUCUCGGGUUCUUUCUAAAAAACUUCCAAACCAUGUACUUCCUUUCCACGUCUCAUGCUCUCUUGUGUUUCUAGGCAUUGGUUCUCUUUCCCCCAUUUCUGUUUUUUUUUUAAAUAUGAAAUCUUUUUUAAAAAACAAUUUCUUUGAUGAAAUACUGCGUAUCUCUCCACUCUCACCCAUUCCCGUCAUCGUGCUUAUCGGGCACUGGCGAGGUAAGAAGUAAGACGUGUAAGUGCAUAUUGAGCUGACAGGUACCACCAGCUUAAGAGCAGGAACCUCACUACUUAUCACCCUCAACAUCUCAAUUUAAAAGUACAUCUUCUUUUAAUUAGUAGAAUACUUGUUUGCAAUUAUGGGAGCAGCGUGACAUUUUUCUGUUACAGUGUUACAGUUCUAAUCAGAUCCAGGUAACUGCAGUGCCUGUCACCUAAGCUGUGGAUGUUCUUCUGGACUCCCCAUCCUCUUCUCUCUGACUAGAUGACCAGAGUUCCCAUCCUCUUCUCUCUGACUAGAUGACCAGAAUCCCCAUCCUCUUCUCUCUGACUAGAUGACCAGAAUCCCCAUCCUCUUCUCUCUGACUAGAUGACCAGAGUCCCCAUUCUCUUCUCUCUGACUAGAUGACCAGAGUCCCGAGCUUUACGUCUGAUUCUCCUGCUUUUCUUUUGAGUUGACCUCUAACCAGUAGUUUUACAUUUUUCAUGAUUUGGAACAUUCUAAAAACAAAAUCAUUGUUCCAUGACUGGCUUUUCACUUUCUGUUCUGUAGUGUUGGAAGAGGCAUUAGCUUAUCCAGUUCUUUGUGAGAAUCAGAAAGAACUGUCUUUUCAGUAUUGAAAACACUCCUAGGUAAGCCAGCAGAGUCUGGUUUGUCUUUGAAAUAAGAUAUUGCUAUAAAAUCCAGGCUAGCCUCAAACUUGGUAACUUCCUGCCUCUGUCACCUGUGGUUGGAAUUACUAGUGGUGGCACACACUGCACUUCCAUGUUCACAGGUACUUAAAAAAAAGCCACUCUUUUUUGGACAAAUGUCACCCUGUAACAGGGUUUAUGGCCUGUCAAACAAUGUGGACUGAAUGCCAGCCUCUACUUAUCCCUUUGGUCAAACGGCCACAUAUAAUACAUGAGUGUUUUGCCACUACAUACUUAUUACAUGUAGUUCAUUAAUUUUAACUGCUAUGUGAUAGGGAUAUAAAUAACCACACUCCAGCCAGGGCUUUAAAAAAUUACACACUUUUCUAUACAUCACAGGAGCCUGCCCUUUCAGUUUGUCUGUAUAAUACUGGAACAUUGUUAGUGCUCAAUAAAUGUUUAAAAUUUUAGGUUGCCCUCAACUGGAAAAACAACUAUGAAAAAUAAGACAGGAUAGUGGUGGCUCCCCCUUUACCAAGGUGAGAAUGAUACACAGAAGUGGUAAGUAAUUAGUUCAGGCUCAGACCUGUUUGAUAGGAAAGCUGAAUGUGGUGUGACACUGCUUCACAUUUUGCUGUGUUAAGAAACUGUUUCUCAGUGUUAUUAAUUUAUUCCAAGUUGAAAUGAAAAUUGUUAAACCAAGAAUGCUCUUUAGAGUGUGAACUCUUAUUUCUUGGCUAAAAUAGCUAAUAGCUGGUGUGGUACACUGUUACAGUAAUGACUUCAAAUGACUGGUCUCCCAGUAUCUGCUCUGUUCCCACUCCCUGAAUGGAUUGAGCUUCACCAUCUUAUAUGCUUUGGACAGUGUUAAAUUCAUUAAGUGUGUGAGACAAGGAGAUUUGGAAGCAUCCUGAAUGCCAAAAUGUGCUUUCUUAUAAUGUGGAAUUCUUCCAUCAACACAGCAACCUAAUCCAGCUUGUACAGACAGACACACAUAGAACGGCUGCUGAGUGUGGGUCUGACCAUCUUGACCCAGUCAGUGUGCAGAUGACUGACACCUCAUUGGUUACAGUGGGCCUGACUAGCAUAUGCACUGUCCAAUAGGUUCAGCCUAAAUUGCUUACCUAUAGAAUUGUGAGAAUGUAAAAGUCAUGGGUUUGGUGUGGAUAGUGUGUAUUGAUAAAUAUAUCAUGGACCCAGUUGAGUCAGGUAACCAAGAUUCUUGUCCAGGAUUUGUUAGCAAGCUGGAGAAAGUGAUUCUGUAUAGAAAUCUGUGGGGUUGUACAGUUCUUUAACCUUAAGUCUCUAUAUUUCUGAUUACCAAUGAGUAUGUUACCUGUCAAGUUGUUUUGAAAUACCCACAUUUGCUCAGAUCUGGGAAAGUAGUUGGUAAAUUUCAAUAAAGGUUACUGUAUUUUUUCAUGGAGUGUUGUGGUUAAGUUGUAUGUCCAGCUUUUAAGUGUCUCUUCUGCUCCUAAAAUGGAAAUUUAUUAUUUGAAGUAACCUUAUGAAUUAUUUUAGUCUGACUCUGUUAUUUUGUAGAUAGAAAAACUGAGGUUCAAAAAUGCUAAGUGACUUGCCUGGGGUUUUCCGGGUGCUUAGCAAACCUGGGAGCGGGAUUCUAGUCUCUAGGUCAGUUUUGCUCUUCCUGCCAUCUGCCAGAGUAUCUUCCUUUUGAUGGUGUCUGUGGUGUCUUCUCUUUGUCCUGCACCUUGUCCUUGUCAUGGCAGUCUCCUUCUGAUGCUGCAAUUCUGACGAUUCGUCUUACCCACAGCUAGUUCUGCCUGCUACUGUACUCCCUGGUAGGCACUGACACAUCUUGAAAACCUAAGGGGAACUGCCUUAUCUUCCAACCCCUAGAGGCCAGCUUCUAACCUGAGCUGAGCUUACCAUUUCUUCUCCAGUCACUUGGGAGAAACUGGUUGAGAAAACAGUGUGUAAUUUGGAGAACUGAGAGUUCUGACCUGUCCUACCAGUUCUGACAAGUUAGAGGGUGACCUCUGUUCACAGAAUGAAGUGGAAACUUAAGGGUUCUUCGGAAAGUCAGUUGUGUUGGAAGGUGUUUUCCUGAAAUGGACACAGGUGUGAAAGGCUAAGGCAGACUCGUGAAAGAACAUUACCCUGAAGCAGACACAGGAGAGAGGGUGCUCUGCUAAAGCAAGCAUGUGAAAGGACACGUGAUGAAAGAGUCUUUGCUAGCAACACACAUAUAUUGGUCGGCCUUACAUUGUGUAGUUGAGCAUUUACUUCUGGUGGUGUUUCUUGCCGCUUCUGUGGACUUGGACUGAUUGGCAGAUGGAUGUCAGUUGAGACAGACACAUGUACUAAGGCAAGACCCAGGCAGAGGCAAGACAUGUGAAGUUUGGAGGGUAUUAAAGGACUCCACAGACAGUGAUGUAGGCUGAGCUUGGCUUAUUUAUAGAGCUAGCUGUGCAACACUUGUGGGUCUGGUGUCUUUGCUGAAUCUUUGCUUCCCUGAGAGAGGCACUUCUGGGGUUCUUCCUGGUCCCUCCUGCUGACUGGAGCAGAGGCUAAGGCCUUUCUCUGCUAGGUACUGGCACCACUGCUGAUUCAUGUCUGCUAGCCGAUCUAUCUGUGAAGUGUUUGUGAGUGGAUCAAGUUGCCACUGCUAAACUGAACUGAACUGCCAAUUUCUAGACACCACAAAUCCUUUCUUUCCCACAACCUCUGGUGGGUGGUGGGCUAAAAGGAAGGUUAAAGCAUUUAAGAACCAUCAUUAAAAAUACGUUUUGAAAAAAUUUAAGUUACAACAGAAUGAAUGGGUUAGAACCAGUUUGGGGAGUCCUUCCUGUUUGGGAUUACUAGCUUCCGGUACUUAAUCAAAUACGCCUACCAAAGAAGAAGUAAGAGCUUGAGUGGGACUGGUACGUGAUCUCUUCCCAGUGGGGGGUUGGACGGGCUUGUGCCCAGAAGGUGGAGGACAGAAAAGAUGGUUUAUUCUGCAGCAGUGGGGCUAUGUCCACGUCUUUCUUUUGUGCAUAGCAUAGGAUAGCAUAGCAUAGCAUAGCAUAGCACAGCACAGCACAGCACAGCACAGCACAGCACAGCACAGCACAGCACAGCACAGCACAGCACAGCACAGCAUCUGUGCCAUGACUAGACUGCUGUGUUACACUUACGUGCUUGUUUCUUCUGCAAGACUUGGAAGUGGGUAGACCUUAAUUUACAAAAAAGAAAAACAAAACUUUAUAUCUGCCAUGUGUAUCUUCCUAGUGGACAUUUAAUAAAAAUUGAAUCAAGAAUCAAUCAGUUCUUCCUUUCUUUUCUUCAUGCUUUACCAAACUACCUGUUGAUUCACAGAUAGGAUGCUGGGAAUCAAACAUAUAACCCAUUGAGCCCACAUCCCAUCCCUUUUUAAGAUGGUGGUGGGGCUCUUGCCUAACAUGCACAAGGCCCAGGAUUGCAAUAAUUAAGUAGUACAAUUAAAAAAUAUAUGAAGAUUAAUGUUGAAUAUUUUGGGUUUUCCUGCAGUCAUUCCUCUCUCUUAACUGUAGUAUUCAGAACAAUGUAAAGAAGGCUUUCCAUGAGAGUUUAGAGUAUAGAAAACAUACUAAUAAUUUGUGAACAGUGCAAAGUGUACACUAAUUUAGAAUAGCAGCAUUGCCAGGAGCCGUGCAGAACAGGAUCUUUUCCACAGCACUUUCCAAUCUCCAGUUGCUUCUCCCUGAGCUGUUCUUGAUCUGAGUUUUGUUUUUUUUUUUUUUCUCCAUAUGUUGGUAUGGAUAUUUAAAGAGAAACCAACACUGGAUUUAACUUACACAGCUGAUUCUACAUCAACUGAAAGAGUUUUGAGUUUGGAAAUGGGAAAUGUAUGUUAAAGAUAAGUUCUCAAAACCUCAGAUGAUUUCUGUAAUAUCCCAUAGGAAUCACUGGAAUUUAGGUUUUGAUUUAACAGUUCUUUAGGAAAUAUUUUUAAAUUUAAGAAAGUUAUUUACCUUGGUGUUCUGCCUCCAUGUGUGUGAAGGAGUCAGUUCCCCCAGCACUGGAAUUACAGAACUGUCAUUUUGAUUUGAACCUGGGUCCUUUGGAAGAGCAGCCAGUACUCCUCACCAUUGAGUCAUCUCUUCAACCCCCAAGAAGUAUUUUCUAAACGAAGGAAGGUGGUUCGUUCACAUCAUUCUCUUACCACCAUUACUACCGUUAUCUCUCUUAGUGAAUUAUGUUAGGAAAGGAUAAUUUAAGCACCAAGGGCUGGAAAGCUGGCUCAAUAGGUAAAACACUUGCCACAAAGGCACAAGAGCCAGUGUUUGAAUUUCCAGAACCCACCAUAAUGCUUAGGUGCAGUAGCUCAUGUGUGUAAUCCCAGAACACCUAAAGCAAGAUGGGAGGUGGAGACGGGAGAAUCCCGGGGACCCUGUCAAAGUGAAUGUAAAAAAUUGAUACACAACAUUGUCCUCUUGGCUUCUGCAUGCAUGCUAUGUAUGUAAACACACACACACACACACACACACACACACACACACACACACACACACACACACAAACUGAAAAGAAUGUGGAGAGCUGUCACCACUCUGGUUCACUCUCACAUGCAUAAGCACGUACAGGCACACAUGAAAUCUACACUUGUCAUAUAUAUGCACACAAAAGGAAAAGGGUACAUUUCCUUCAACAAAAUAGCUUGCAAUUCAAAGUGCUGUGUUUACAUAAUUUUAUAUGAUUGCAUAUUGUUUUAUGCUUACAUAUGCUAGCUCUGUAUUAUGUUGAUAAUACUUUGACCACAAGGGGCAUGAUCCAUUUUCCAUUUCUUAUAGUAACUGUUUAGUAAGUUCUUGUUACAUUUCGAUAUUCUUUGGAUAUUAGGGCUUGGGCUUUUCUUCCUGGAGCCUAUGUUUACGGGAAUAAAGGGAAUGAGCAAAUAAAGGGAAUUUCAAUUAGAGCCUUUAAAUAAAGUACUAACUAGGGAGCUAGAGACUAAUGGGGUGCCCCUUUCUGUAGCGUGAUGGAUGGUCUUUCUAGGGAAGUGACAUUUAAUCAGAGGAGUGAGUGUAGAGACCCAGGAGAGUAGUGUGUUGGAGUGGAGGGAACUGCUCUAUUCAGGUUCCUAUGUAUGAACAAGCUGGCAUGUGUGGAGCCUUCCUUUAUCAUUUGAGCAUUAGGUUGUUACUGGAACUUGGUUGAUGGGUUGGAUAGUAACUUUUACUUGAAUGCCAUUUCUUACACCGGCUUGUAUUUAAUACUUUGUGGAUAUAAAACAGAGCUAACCAGAACCGUGAUUACCUAUCUUAAGCAUGCAACUGUAAUCUCUUUAUUUUGUGAAAAUCAUGUCUUUGGAGACUUGGAGUCAUCAUGUGACGUCAGUGUCCCUCCAUCACACCACUCUGGGUACAUAGGUGUCUUUGUUUGUAUGGUGGAUGGAUUUGCUGCCAUUUUCUUGGCUCCUGUUUAAUCAACUCAUUUCUGGCAUUCAUAUGCCAGCGAUGAAGCAAAUCUAGAGUCGUUGUUAAUGACUAAUGACCAUGUUCUCAGGCUGCUCUCCUAGCAUUGUUAUGGUACUUAGCUGUGCUUGAAUAAUGAAAGAUAAACCCACCUGUGGCCUCAUAAUUUAUGCCAGUAGGUUUGCAUGGAGAACUUGGGUUGAAGCAGCUUCCAAGUGGCACUUGUGCUUAGUUAGCUCCAGGCUUUCCAUGUGGCCGAGCCUGAUUGACACACUCAACUCUAUCAUUUCACUUAGGAAUUGAUGCCAAAAUUAAAUAACCGCACUGUGUGUUUGUAUGACAGUUCACUACAAGGAAAGAACCCAAUUUUAUAUUCUUCUUGCCUGGGUUCUGUUUUAGUAAUUGAGGUGUUCUUAGACUGUGAAGUGGUAAGCACAAAAACCUAUUGAAGAGUUGCCCUUAAAGUAGCAGACUUACAGGCCAUAUCUCAAUGAAAGUUUCAUACAGUCUCCAUUCUUACUUAAAAAUGAAGUAUGCAGUCUUGGCUCUUACUCUUACUGAACUGGAUACUUACUUUUUUUCCAUUAGAGCUGUAUCUAAUUUAUAGUAAAAGACCACAAAACCAAAAAUCAUUUCUGUUUUGGCACCUAGUGCUAUUAUAGUUUAAGGGCCUGUUGGCAUUUCGGUUACAGCAUUUUCUUACAAAAGUUUACAACUUGGCAGUCUUUCUUGGCUUUAGGCUGAAACAUUGCUAUUUCUGUUUCAAAGCAAAUUCUUUUAUCAAAUUUCAUAGACCUGAAUGUGUCUGGUGUGCUGAGGGAGGGACGAUCGUAGCAGUUCCUGAUGCCCUCACACAUGCUUUAGUUACAUGGAAUGCUGUGUGUGUGCUAAGUGUUUUCUUUAGAAAGUGUUUUUACAUUUGUUUAUCCAUUUUGUGUGAGUGCAUGUUUGGGUAUGUUCUGAGUGCCACAACCUGUAUUGGGAGCUCAGAGCAACUUGGGAGAGUUGUUUCUCUCUUUCCACUCGGUGGGUCCUGGACAUGAAACUCAGGUUACCUCUGAGCUAUCUCACUUACCAGCAUUCAGCUCCUUCUUAUAUUUUGUUUUUACCGCAGUAAAAGGUUUCAUUAUGCAAGAUAACUGAGUUCUCGCGAUCUGCUGUUACACUACGGUGCUUACAGUUACUGUUAAAGUGGGGAGCAGAGAGUAUGCUGUAAGAGCAUGGCAACUGUAGUCAGAUCUCAGUGCUGAUGCACAAGCUGGCUAUAGUCCUGGACAGACCUGUGGAAUGAGGGGCGAUAUGAUCAUUGGGGCCCGCUGGCUGAAGGAAAAAGUGAGUUCCAGGUUCAGUAAGAGACCCUGUCUCGAGGAAAUGAGGUGGGAGAGUUGGAAGAGGACACCCAACACUCUCCCCUGGUCUCUGACAGGACCUGCUUCCAGGACAGUAAGGACUGUACAGAGAAGCCUUCUUAUCUUCCCCACACAUGCGUGCACAUAAAGAAAUAAGUAAAAAGGAGUGUUACAGAGCAAGAUCUAGUGGCUGAGGCCUGUAAUCUCUAACAUGCUGGAGGCAGAGAUCAGAGGAUGUGACUUCUAGGUCAGCCCAGGCUACAUAUGAGACCCCAUCUCAAAACCAAAACCAGAAAGAAGCGGGUGGUGAUCACAGUGCACGCCUUUGAUCUUAGCACUCAGAAGGCAAGUGGAUCUCUGAGUUAGAGGCUAACUUGGUCUACACAAUGAGUUAGGACAGUAAGGGCUGUACAGAGAAGCCCUGUCUCGAAAAACAAAAUAAAAAAUCCAACCAACCAACCAACCAACCAAACAAAAAAAACCAACCAAACAAAAAAAGAAAAACAAAAAAUUGAAAGGCAGAUUUUUUGUUCUUACUGCAAAACAGCAGCAAUAAGGCACAAGGACGUUGGGUGAUAAAUGCUCCUGACCUUGACAAGGGUGAUGGGUUUGUGGGUGUAUGCUUAUUUCCACAGUGACCACAUUUUAUAUUUAGUAAAUAAAGUUAUUAUAGGUUUUAUUCUGAAAUAAAUUAGGUGAAUUUACGUAGGUCUCUUUGUUAAGACAGUGCUGAUCAGGCUGGUUUCACUCAUCCUGCUUCCACCUGAGUGCCAGAAUUGUAGAGAUGCUAUACCACACCUGACGGGGCUUCUCUCUCCAACAGUUACAUUACUGUUGCAGUUUCUUUAAAGUUACUCUCUAACUGGACACUCUCAUCUUUACUAGCUAAAUGUAAAAGUAUGUUGUAGCAUUUGACUUUUGAAUGAGAGACUUGAGUUACUCUCUUCAAAAAUGUUAUUUCCGGGUCAGGUUUUGAUACUUCAUAUUUUAGUAGCUCAGAUAGUUAACAUGUACUUAAACUUUGGUAACUAACUUCAUUUUCUUAAAAAUGGCUUAAGGUUCAUUAAUAGCGUAUACAAUCUUGAGUUACUUAUAUUAGUCAGUUCAUUCCCUGAAAUUUUUAUUAUAACCCUGUAUCCAUUUAGUAUCCUUUUUGUGCUUUGAGGCUUUCUACAAUUUGCAGGGGUAGUUCAGAAAUGUUUGUAACUACAUUUCAAGGGUUUAGUUGAAGUGAGCUCUGAAGAGGUGCCGGUAAAAACCUUCCCUAUUCUUUGGCAUACUGCGACUCCACUGCAACAGCUGUUGCGUCAGGUCCCCUCUGAGUGUUCUUAAUGCAAUCAGAGAGGGCGACUGGCUCUGUAGAUGGGGCAGCUCGGCAGCUCGGAGGCCCUGUAUCCUGAGACAGGGGUGGGAGACCGUGACAGCUGAGUGGUGGUUGCUCGGGGUCUCUUCUACUGCUAUCACUACCCAUUGUGACAACGGUCUCUGGUACUAGCACUCUACUCCCUUUCUGGACACUUGCUCUCUCAUUUCAGAACUCCUUCCUCUCUAGAUGUGAAGGCUGUAUUUUAACUGUGUUGUAAUUUUUGGUUAAACAUGCACUCACCGCAGAGCUUGCCCCUGGCCAGUGCUUGUUCGUGGUGGAGACCCCGUGUUCUCACAUUGCUGUGGUGGGAAGCACAUCACUGGCGCCUAGUCUGGAGUCAAGAGCUGGAGAUGUCUAUCUGUGACAGAACUUUGAAACGCUUGCAGGACACUUUCAUUUCAGCUGAAGGUAACUUGAGUUUAUAGCUCUGGCUUUAAAGAUUACUAAUGAUUUACUCAUUUCCUUACUAUUUAACCAGAGUGGACUUUUUCCCAGGAAGGGAUCUGUGUUUAUUUAGGGCUUUUGUCUGCGGAGGGAUUAAAAGGCAGCCCACCAGCAUUGUGAACUUGAUGGUAAUAAAAGGUCACCAAAACACACCAUAAAAACAUUCUUACUAUGGAAUUAAUUAUACAGUGUAAUUUUACAAAGCAACUUCGUUACUCCAGUUUUAUCCCCUCCCUUAAACAUCCUAUUAUUUGCAAUGAAAACUUAAGUACAAAAUUGCUUUGUGAAAAAAUGUUUUGCUUCUUUUAUGAUUUAAACACUGAGGAAAUUGUCAUGUGCAUACAUGCAGUUAAUUGCUUAAAGGCCUUAAAAUUUCUAAAUACAAAUUAUUUUUCAGAGGUAGGAUAAGAAUUCAUUUGGGAGGAUGGUAGACUAUGAAAGAAGUAGUCGAUAUUUCAAGGAAUGCUCAACUUAUGGACACAUGACGGCCUCUUAAGAGCUCAUCUGUGCCACCAGGGGGCAUUGCAUGCAAACCUGCUUGUGAUAAGAGAGAAAUUAAGAUAUUGUUUGUUUGAGAGGAUGUAAAACAUUUUCUAGAUUUUUGCUUUUGAAGUUGGCUUAAAAAUACAUCUGAUAUUAAGGCUAAUUAAAGUGUCCUCAGAGAGUUGAAAGGCCUUCUGAAUUUUACAGAUAAUUUAUUUUUAGUGAUUCUGAAAGUAAAUCACAAUGGAUAUUUACAGAGAUUACCUUUUUUAAACAAAUGAAUGUAGUGUUUGUUGUUGCUAUUGUUGUUAAACUCUUCUAAAAAGGGAAGGGAUCCUGCUUGUGAAAAUCCUCAAAAAAAGUUCAAAACCCCCCUAUUGCUGCAAAUUUAUCACACCCUCAUGUACACAUGUGCUUAGUGUACACACACACACACACACACACACACACACACACACACACACCUGUUAAAAUGUUUGUUGGCAGGCUGCACUGAUGAGCCUUUUUGAGAAGCCGGAGAGCCCUUUGAAAGAUGCAGGCCGGCCCUUUUCACAAGCCUGAGUGUGCGGCAGUUCACACUCAUGUCUUAGAAGCUGUUUUAGGAAAAACGGUCCUCAAGUUUCCUGUACCAGCCUCCAACGAGUCUUUACUGCUUCUUUGAAUCAGCUUAUCUUAAAAAGGUGAUCAUAUAAAACAAAAAGUGAGAUGUUUUCAUUACACUGAAUACCAUGUUAUAUUUAAAUAUAAAUUAAUAAAUGGUACCAGAUCCAACUGAAUUAUUUAGUACAAAUGUCCAGUUGGAAGAAAUGCAGUUCCCUGUACAUUAUCUUGAUUCUUUUACUUUAAAAAUGUGUACUUGCCGUGCAGAGAGGUGACUAAUACUUGGCUUUGGUCAUUUUGCUUUACGAAAUUUACUUACUGCACACAUUUGCCUUUUCUCAGAGGCUUCUUAAUGUGCAAAGCCUGUUUAAGAGAGGUAUGUGUUUUCAAGUAAGUGCCUGACCUCCCACCGUGAUGUUCCCUUUCCUCUCACAUGGUAAAUUAGUAAAGCUUUCCCCUCCACUAUCGUCUCUCUCUUACAUUGUGAGUUAUUUGGUUAGCAUGUAUGUUGCACUAAGAGUAAAUCUGUUUCAUAUUAUUAGAGAUUGUCUCUAUGUUAAAAUGAUCACUUCACAUUUGAAGUGGUCUAGACAGUUAAAUUCAUGACAUUUGACCUGCAUAAUUCACUUUUUAACUUGAUACAACAGUCUGCUUCUUAGCUUUGUUGUAUGCUAAUAUUUCUACUUGUUUAACACCAAAAGCUGCUGUGGUUUUUCUGUAGCUUAUGCUUGUGUUCUGGAAUUGUCUCUGCUGGCCAUGGAUUGUAUCCUGGCUUCUUGUCAGAAUUUCUUACCCAGGCUUUUGUGAGCUCUGUAGCCAACAUUUUCAAAAAGUCAUACUUGACACAGUAAACUGGGUUAACAAAAAUGUACUUACAAUACAUAAUUAUAAUUGGAGCAGGCUUCAAGGCUCAUCAUGGCAGCUUUGUGUAUUAAGAGCAAAUAAAUGCAAAUCUCAUGUAAUAAAAAAAUGAUUGUCCCAAAUGACUAUAUUUUUCUAGUUAUUUCUGUUGGAUUAACUCUUUUGCUGAAAUUCUAGAAAUUAAUUUUUUUCAUUAAUAAUAUGAUGGGGAGAAAAUCUUUACUCAUUAGCAUAUGGGUUAUUUUUUAAUGAAGCAUUUAGAUUUCUGCUCUCAUUUCACUUGGGAGUAGUGUUAGCCUGAACAAAUGUUACCAUGGGAACAUCCAUAUAGAUAUAAAGGAGAAGACUGUCUAAGGUCGAGGGAGGGCAGCACACUAAAAUGCUGUGGGCCUAGGUGAUGUGAGCGUUGGUGGGUAUGGAUUGGGGUGUUUGGCUCAGAUGAGAGGGAGGGGGAAGUAGUAUGAAGAGCAACUGUCGUCUUAAAGGCAAGUGUUCGGAAUCUUGUGGGUGAAAGGAAACAUUUCAGGAUAUGAAGUGCAUUCAAUUAUUCAUUUGCAUAUGUUGCCAGUGUUACGUACUUCAUUUAAAAAACCUCAUUCAUGAGAAGUAUAUUUAAGAUAAACAAUGUUGAACUUGGUUAAAUGUGUUACUUUAUAGUUAGCAUUUUGGUCUUUGAAAUAGCUCUAAUUAUUGUGGAUGCCUGUCAUUGUGUUUCUCACGUCUGAGAUAAUGAGCUGACUCGUUAGAAGACAGGAAAACUGCAUUGGGUUUUAUAGAGUUUCUAAUAUUCGAUAUUUAAAAUUAGACAUUUUUAGUAAUUUUUAAGUAUUAGCCAAGAAAAUAAAUAACUGCACCUGCAUGUUUAGUAAUAAUAAAAGCAAAAAUAAAACAAGAAAUGACAAAAGUAAAGCCAAGCACAAAAUAGAUUUUAGAGUCUGCAGAUGUAGGAGAAUUAGGUGUAAGGGCUAGGAAAGACGAUUAGAGACCAUCAGCCUACCUGUAUGCUUUAGUGUUUUAGUUACUCUAUUCAAGUUACAGAAGCAAGGGGGCUGUGCCAGUGUGGAGAGUUAGGGAAGGGAAAAGGACCAUUCCCACUGUACUGGCGCUAUGGAUUCUGGUGGGGGUGGCGGGGGUGGGGUCGGGAGGAUGACAGCGAUUGUUUAAACUUAACCUUUUAAUCCAUCCAGAGAAAGAGUAAAGCUGCCAGCACAGUAAACAGCCAGAAGUUUUAAAAUUAAACGGAGUAGUGUGCCCUUUGUAUGUAGUUUGAGUGUAUAUGUGUGUGGGUGCUGAUAAUUUUAGAUUUUGUGGGGAGUGGAAAAGGUAAGCAAUCGAAACUGUUCUCUAAGAUGCAUUUUUAUGAAUUUUGUUAAAGAGUUUUGUUAAACCGUUAAAAAAAAAUUAAACGGAGUAAUUUAAAAAAUGUGAGAGCGUGUACUUGCUUGGGAGAACGAGGGUUAAAAUGACCAAAACUGCCUGGUUGGGCCUGACUGUGUCUGAUGCAGUUAACCAGCAGGGGGAAUAGAUUGUUUUCAAGAUGGGGUAAACAGUGCUGAGCUUUCUGUGGGGUGUUGGGGGAUGGGUUUUAAGAAGUUAAUUGGGAUGCUGGAGGUUAACCAGUGGACUUUUUGGCAUGUGAAAUGUUAGGUAGAGGUAUCAGCCUUCACAGGUUCAGCUGAGAUUCACAUUUACUUACGUAAACCACUGAUGAGUUGUAUUGCCGAAUGCUGGAGUGUCUUUAUAAUCUCACACACUGCAAUUCUCAUUGAUGCUUCAUAGAGGCUGCUCCUCUCUCCUCAACUGACCAGAUUCAAGCAUUUAAAACAAAAAUGUUUUCAAUUCCCUCCAUGGGUUGGUUUUUAGUUAGGUGGUACUAAUUCUUUCUAUGUUUUUUUUUCUUUUUUUUCUUUUUCUUUUUCUUUUUUCUUUUUUUCGGGGCUGGGGACCGAACCCAGGGCCUUGCGCUUGCUAGGCAAGCACUCUACCGCUGAGCUAAAUCCCCAACCCCUCUUUCUAUGUUUUGAUAGGGGAACUGUGAGGGGAGGCAUCCGUGUGUGGUGGUAUCAGUAGAUGAUGGAAAAGUAUUUCUGCUGAUUGUGUUUGUAACUAAAACACAGAAAGCCUUUUUCUUUAUCUGGGAACCAAAUAAAUUCUAAAAUGAGUGUGGUGAUUUUCAUCUGUAUUCUAGAACACAGGUGGCUGGGACAAGAAGAUUGUCAAGAGGUUGAGGCCUGCCUGGGCUGCUACAUAGUGAGUUCCAGGCCAGCCUAGACUGAGACAUUGUCUCCAAGGAAAAUAGACGUGUGAAUCCUACCUUGUUAUUUGAAGAUGCUCUACCUGAAGUGUCUCUUCACAGAAUCAAGCUGGCUGAUGCUCACAGUAACCUCAGUUGAGCCUCAGCCUCCUUACUCAAGCAUGAGAACCCAUAUUUCAUGUGGUGGUUCACAUCUGUCGUCUUACACUCAGGAGGUUGAUGUAGGAGGCUUGCCAAGAGUUCACAGCCAACCUAGACUACAAACAGACUGAAUUUUAAAAGUGCACAAACCACUCCACAUGACAGCCCCAUAUAAAAAAAAGCUUAGUGUUUGACUCUUCUAUGAAACCUUUUAAGGUGAUUAAAAGUAUUUUAACUAUACUUAAAUUAUAAGGCAAUGUGAAUUUUAAUUUAUUCCAAGAUUGUUAUAUUUUCAUAGCUUAGGGUUGUGUUAGGUGCACAGCUGCCCAACUCUUAAGAUUUCAGGUGCUUAAUAAUCCUGAUGUGGUCUUGUGGUUGAUAGAUUUUCCUUGAAACACAGCAGUACCUUGGAAUGAAGAGUGAGAAGACCCUUGUUCUUCUUAUGUUGUGUGUUCAAAAGGGAAACAAAUUGGUGAUAUUCUUGUAGUUUGGAACACCAAAGAACCUGCUAUGAUUUCCCAGGUUGUUUGGAAAUAAUGUAACCAGAUUUUUCAUUCUAGAGUUUUCUGCUUACAAUAUACCGUUAUUUCCAGAAAUGCUGUGAUGUGAAAGAAAAGGAUGAGAGAGGACAAGAAAGGAAUUUCUAGAGGAAAACACCUUCUUUUUUUGUGUGGAGUGUAUACUUGCUAGUGUACAUGUGCGUGGCGCACGCAUGUGGAGACCCGAGACGGAUGUUGUUAGGAAUCUAUUGCUCUCCCACCUUACUCACUGAGGCAGGGUCUCUUGGCCGGACUAAGAGCUCACUGACCUGGCAAGUCUGGCUAACAGGCUCACUCUGGGGAUCAUCUGUCUCCACCUUCCAGGCUUGAGUCACAAGCAGACUGCCAAGCCCACUUACCACUUAUAUGGGUUCUGGGGAUCAGAACUCUGGUUCACAUGGUUUCAGGGCAAGGUUUGUUUGUUUGCUCUAACUACAGUGCCAGCUCGCGAGCCCUUAAAUAUAGACACGUGUAUUCUGACUCUGGUUCUCCUAGGGUGAUAGUCCAAGGAAAUAAGGAUUAUUACUGCCUGGGUAGAAAGUCACUCUCUCCUACUUCAUCCAGCAACUGAUGGGAUAGAUGCAGAGUAUCCCACCCAGAUGUUAGGUGGUGCUUAGAAGUCCUGCUGAGAAGGGAGAGGAAUGAUUGGAGGAACCACAGGGGUCAGGGGCACAGUAUGAAAGAGCACAGCCUACAGAAUCAAUUGACCAGGACACAUGGGAACUUGAGUGUCAGGGAACUGUAGGGGUCUGACCUAGGUCCUUUACUUAUAUUGUUAUGUCUCAGUGGCUUGGUGUUUUUGUGGGAAUCCUAACAGUGGGAACAGGGACUGUCCAUGACUCUUGUCUACUUGUGGGACCCUUUCCUCCCUACUGGGUUCCCUUGUUCAACCUCGAUGUGCUUGGUCUCAGUGUGGUAUUAUGUAUGCCCUGUUCAGUUGAUGUCCCUGGAAGGCCUGCUGUUUUCUGUAGUCAGGGGUGGGGGACUUAAGGGAAAAGGGAGGCAGGAGGGGGGACAGGGUUGACACUGUGGUCAAGAUGUAAUAUAUAAGAAGAAAAUAAAAAAAAGUCACUCAUUUGGUAGUAAGGAGACUUGAAAUUCAGUCAGGACUGCUUUUGUGUGUCUUCGCUCUUCCUUGCAGGACAGUAAGGUCCCUUUAGUGGUGUGUGAUGAUGGGAACCAAGGGGAAGACUGCAUCAGAGAUGUUAUCUUUAACUGCCAGAACGCCCUACAAUAGCAAGUUUCUUCAAUGGGACAGGGAAGGGGCAAUUCUUGAUCUUUCUGUGUGUUGGUAGCACCCACAACUCCAGUUCCAAGGGAAGAGAUUCAGUGCUCUCUGGCCUCCUCAGACACCUACACACAUGUGCUACAGAAAAACUCCUACAGCAUACACAGAAAUAAAAACAAUGAGUACAUCUUUUUAAAUUGUGAUUUUUUUUGUUUGUUUUUUAAGAUAAAAGGUACAACUUUUGAGAAGGUAAAUUGACAGUGCCCACAGGUGAAUUGUGAUUUUCAUAAUUUCAGAGGAUGUAUUAAUGUGUACCUCAGACAGUGUUUCCAGGAAGGGAAGAUGAUGUGGGAAAACUAGUAAUAAAGAUGAAAAUAGCGAGGAAUGCAGUAGAAUUCUGUUUUUAUUGCAUAAAGUAGAAGGUUGGGGAAUCUGUGAAGUAUUUGAGUAAAAUUUAAGAAAAAUUAGAAGAAAAAAACUACUCACAGUGGCUUUUUUUUUCAGAUAGUGUCUCACUGUAUAGACCACAGCAACCCCAUUACAUAGUGCCUUACUGUAUAGACCAUAGCAACCCCAUUACAUAGUGCCUCACCAUAUAGACCACAGCAACCCCAUUACAUAGUGCCUUUCUGUACAGACCAUAGCAACCCCAUUACAUAGUGCCUCACCAUAUAGACCAUAGCAACCCCAUUACAUAGUGCCUCACCAUAUAGACCAUAGCAACCCCAUUACAUCGUGCCUUACUGUAUAGACCAUAGCAACCCCAUUACAUAGUGCCUCACCAUAUAGACCAUAGCAAUCCCAUUACAUCGUGCCUCACCAUAUAGACCAUAGCAACCCCAUUACAUAGUGCCUUACUGUAUAGACCAUAGCAACCCCAUUACAUAGUGCCUCACCAUAUAGACCAUAGCAACCCCAUUACAUAGUGCCUUACUGUAUAGACCAUAGCAACCCCAUUACAUAGUGCCUUACUGUAUAGACCAUAGCAACCCCAUUACAUAGUGCCUCACCAUAUAGACCAUAGCAACCCCAUUACAUCGUGCCUUACUGUAUAGACCAUAGCAACCCCAUUACAUCGUGCCUCACCAUAUAGACUAAACUAACUUCAACCCUCACUAUAUAGACUGCACCUGCCUCAUCACAUAGUGUAAUCUGUCCUUCAGAUUGUCCUCCUGCUUCAGCCUCCUGAGCUCUAGGAUGCAGCCGCACACCACCACUCCUGUUUAAUAGUUUUAUAACUUUUCUUUAUGAAGGGCUUACUGUUGUAGAGGUUAGUGUUCAUUGUGUAGACUAACCUGGUCUCAACUUGGGAUCCUUCUGCCUCUGUCUCCCGAGUUCUGGGAUUACAUGUGUCACAUUGCUCUUACGAGUGAUCGUUUUGGCACUACACCAAAAUAAACUGUUGGCAGUAACACUGAUUUGUCGUAUGUGUCUGUCACAUGACUCAGUUAGACGCUGGGAAGGUUACUGAGGAAAUGAGCUGUCUGACUUCAUAGCCUGACAUUUCGCUCUUCUCCACUGCUGACCGUGCCUCUUGACUUGGCUCUUCUCUCAUACCACAAAAGCAUUUUACUUUCUAAGGAAUAAAUCGGCUUUAUUGUUAUUUUUCCUCAUUCCAUAGUAACUCAGAAUUUAAUUUUCAUUGGCAAUUAAAAUGUGAAUGGCAUACCCUUCUUUUGUUUAUAUCUGUGUUCUAAAUGUUCUUGAAUUAUUUAUGUGCCAUUAUAAUAUACAUUAUUGUAUGAAGAACUACCAGGCACUUACUUAUAGUCUUCCAUGCAAAUUCUUUUUUUUUUUAAUUUAUUUAUUUUAUGUGGGUACACUGUCGCUGUCUUCAGACACAUGAGAAGAGGGCACUGGAUCCCAUUACAGAUGGUUGUGAGCCACCAUGUGGUUGCUGGGAAUUGAACUCAGGACCUCUGAAGAGCAGUCAGUGCUUUUAACCACUGAGACAUCUCUCCAGCCCCCAUGCAAAUUUAAAUAAAGAAGAAUCUUUAUUUAAAAAAGAACUAAGCUUUUAAGUCAACACUAUUUAAUUUUAUUUAUAUUUAUUUAUAUUGUUUAUAUUUUAAUUUCUCCUGAUAAAGUUUUAAAACUAAUAAUUUUAAGCACAAAGGAUUCGAGAUAAAGUAUAAGAGGAAAAUAUAUCUAAUUGCAUGUAGUUUUUCCUCUUUCUAUAGGACAGUUCCUAUAAAUAUUCUUUCCUUUUUUUUUUUUUUUGGAGCUGGGGACUGAACCCAGGGCCUUGCGCUUGCUAGGCAAGCAAUCUACCACUGAGCGAAAUCCCCAACCCCAUAUUCUUUCCUUUUAACCCCUCUUUAAAUUAGAUGAUGUAUGAAGAAGUCAUUUAAAAUGCAUUUUUGUUUGGACUGGAGGACUACAACUCUGACAGGAUUGAAGUCGGAGUUGGCAUGUGAGUAGUCUUUGAUGAUAGGGUGCUUGCUUUUGAAGGGCUCUUCAGUUAUCCCCUUUCAGUACUGAUCCAAGGGGAUGGAGAGGAUAAGUAAAUGUCCCUUACAGUGCUCUGCACUGAGCCUUAUCUGGGAGAGACGAUGAUGUUGCAUCUGGUCUGUCCUGACUGUGCUGGAGCAGACUUUGCUUUGCUUUUCAGUAUUCAGUGGAUGCGUCAUUUCUGAAGUAAAAUGGUGGUAAAGCUGUGAGAACAAAGUCUGAGUUUCCUGUCUUUGUUGGUAUUUGUGGGUUCCUAAUCUCCUAAGCGUCUUGGGAUGCAGAUCUGUGCAUCGACACCAGCGUUUUUAUGGUGAGGAAGAAGGGAAAAGAUAGUAUUGAAGCAAUUCCUGUCCAGGUCUGCAAAGAGCAGAUUGCAUUUGGCUGUCAGUGGUGUUAAGUUUAUGGCCCCUUUUUGGGAAAGUGCUAUUAGGGGUUUGGAGACCUUUAUCUUCCUCUGUUUUGCUGUCUCGGAUAGAGCUGUUCUCUGUCGCGUUUGCUAGGUAUGAUAAAUGCUGUACUAAAACUCCUCGGGUAAAGUUUGAUCUGAAAGGAUUACUUUUCUUUCUGUUUCCUGAAAAUGGAGUCACAGCAUUCAAAUCAUCAAACACUGCUUCGUUAGAUCAGAAGGAGUACAUAUCUCUAUUGUCCUUUAAAGCAGUUGAGGGUGCAAACCAUGAAUGACAGCCAGUUUUGUCUGAAACAGUAGCAGUGGAGAGGUAGCCAGACCUUUUCAGCCAGAACUUCCAAAGAGGAAUGACUGGAGACUGAAGGGCUGUCUUCCUCUAUCUAAGAAGGGAGAGCGGAGUUCUUGUAUUACAGAAAGAUUGGCCAGGGCAAGCCUUUGAGGUCAUUGGUUCACACAUCAUAGCCAUUCUUAGUUUUAUUUCCUUCAAAAGACUUCUUUGUGAGCAUCUCUUAUGUUCUAGGAUAUGUUUCCUGUCUGUCUUUGUUGUUUAGUUCUGAUUAGUCUGACUGGCGAUAUUUUAAGUUGACUGUAUAUUUAGUAACUUUUAUGCAAUCCUGGUUUAUGGUAUUGGUUGUAGACAUUAGCUUUUAUCCAGCUAUUGGGUUCAAAUAUAUUUCUGAUUGAAUUCUUCUAACAAGUAAACUUGUUAGUAAAAACAGGUAAGAGGUUUGAUCAAAUUACCUGGUAUUUGGAGACAGUAUUUUCUUCUUUCUUGGGUAGUUCACAUGUCAAAUACCUUGAUACAUAUGAUGGCAAAUGUAUUGCUUGAGCUGAGUAUGUGGGGUAACUUGUAAAUUAUUAUUCUCCCAUUUCAUUUAUAUGUGUUAGUAUUUCCUUUCCUUAACAGAGGCAGUUAAAAAUUGAUGUUCCUGGCUCUGUAACUCCCUCUUCAAAUUUCUUUAUAUUUUAUGAUCUAGCUUCUAUGAAUUCCUGCUAGUGAUAGAUACUAACAUAAGAAAGAUAAUAACGGUGUUCACAGUUGGUUUUGGUGGUGGUGGUAGCUGGUUUGCUUAGUGCUGAUGAUGUAAUCCCAGAGCCCUUGCACAUGCGGCACAAGCUCAUAGAGCUGAGCUACAUCUUGUAUCAUGAGCUGCCUCAGUCUUGGAAUCUUCUUUUUAUUGAGUGAAAAUGAUAGACUGUGCUCAAAAUAACAGGUCAAUAUAAUGUCACUUGUAGACAUACCUACCAGGCCCAAAGCCUUAGGUUCAGUUAGUCUGAAGCAUAGAGAAGAGAGAGGGAUGGGGGAGGUAGAAGAGAGAGGACAUGGUAGGUGGGCUUGCUGAUGUCUGGAUCCACUCAGUCCCUUGACUGGGGUCGUAGCCCAGGAGAUUGAGCAUGCAGAGCCGUCUGGUUGGUGCAUCCUGGCCGUCUGCCUCACAGUGCUGCGGCUCCUCGAUCAGUUGGAAGAUUAGUGACUUCUAGCACAGAGUCAGCUUUCACAGGGGGUCAGGAGGCAUGCUGCAUUUCAGGACUCAAUAGCAACCAUUUCCCAUCCUUCCCUUCUCUAUUUGAACUCCACUUUACCUAUAAAUAUUGCUUUAAAAAUAACCCAUGGUCACUUUCUGCCAGGGCUUGUACAAUGCUGGUGAACUCGAGCUCGAGAGAUGUCUUUCUCGUCAGUGCUGUGACCAUCCUGAAGAUAACUUAAAAUUUUACUCGGGAAAUGAAGGUGUACAUUAUAAACAUGGCUUCACAGCCACUGAACUUCUUAAUGUUUAUCUUUUAAAAUCUCCUUUGCUUAUAUUCUCUUGUCUUUAUUAAAUGAAAUCAACAAUACCUCUGUUCUUAAAGCUUCUGGGUCAGUGUGUACAGUUCUUGCUUGGUGUGUGUAAAACCUUUGAUUCAAACUCAGCAUCGUCUAAACUUAGCAUGAUCAGGGAAUGGAGACAAGAAUCACAAGUUCAGACUCAUCCUCUAUUAACAACAAGUUUGAGGCCAUAUUACCAAAAAAAAAAAAAUUCUAUACAUUGUAGUUUAAGAUUUCCUUAUAUACACUUUUUAAAAAGAAAAUUGGAUUCUUAUUUGACAGCUCACUUUAACAUGUCUUCUAGUGUGUAGUAGAUACGCUUUAAUGUUUUCAGUACUACAAGUGUUUUAUUAUGAGGACAGUCUUACUGUUGCAAAAGAGGCAACUCUAAAUAUUCAUGAGCAUAGAUGUUUUCAAGUAUUUUUCUUUAAAAAUGGAAAUGCCAGGCCAAAGAGUAUAUCUGUUUUAUUUAAAUUGAUUAAAUUUUUUGGUGUUUUUUGAGGUAGGUUCUUGCUGUAUAGUGCAGGCUGUCCUGGAGCUGCCUGUAUAGCUCUGUCUGGCUCUGGAGUCCUCCUGCCCAUCCUCCGGGUGGUGGGACUGGGGCAUGCACGGCCACGGGCAGCAGAGGAUCUGGGUUUGGAUUUGGUGGAGGUUGCCAGGUGUUUCAGCAGUUCACGCACUAGUGGUAUAGGGAAGCGAUCUGAGCUGAAUGCUCUCCUCAGAUUGCAUGCUCUGGAAAAUUCAUUCCCAGUGCAGUGAUGUGGACAGGGUGGGCCUGGGGAGGACGUUUGGGGUGUGAGGGCUCUGCCCUUGGAAAUUGGUUUCCCUUAGGAAAGGCUCUGACCUAGGGAGUUUGGUCUCUUGGUCUUCUGCCUUUCUGCUUCUGCCUCAUUGAGGAAUGUGUUCUUUCCCUCUGUAGGAUGCAGAGGUCCACUCUUACUAACUAUAAACCUGCUGGUGCUGUCAUCUUGUAUUUUCUGUUCUCCAGAAAUCUGAGAAAGUUUCUUCCUGUAUAAAAUGACCCUGUCUUGGAUAAUCUGUUGUAGCAGCACAAAUAGAGAGUAUUUGAUCACGUUUGGAAAACUACCCUCACAUUUCCACUCUCAGGAGCUAAAACUUACAUAACUUAGUAUUUUAAGAGCGUUUAUGUGCAUGCAUUCAGCAAUUACUUGCAGAGUAUAUGCCAUGUGCUUAGUAUUAAUCUAGGCCUAGAAAUCUAGGAAUCAGUGAACACACACUCACACAGAUGCACAUGCACACAGAGACACAUGCAUACACUCACACAUACUUUCUCUAUGGAGGUUCUCUUGUGGUGGGUAUGAAUAUGUAAGGGAAAAUAAAAUAAAAAAAAUAAAAAAGUCAAAAAUAUAUACUGUCAAUCUGUCUUUUAUUUAUGGUACUUCUCAAAAACAGAAAUUUUGAAUCAUUUAUAUAACUGGACUUUUUGCUUUGUUUUACCUGUUAUGGCUUCAGAGUUUUAUGACCUACUUAAAAGACUGCCCUUUCCAGAGUAUAAGAUUUUAAAAUUCAUAUGUAUAUUAUCUUAGUUAUGGUGCUAUUUUUAAAACUUUUAACUCUUUGAUCUAUAUGUGGUUUAUUUUGAUAGAGGGAAUAUUAGUAGGGCUGUAGAUUACUUUUUUCUUUUGAAAGUCCACUUACCGGGGGCUGGAGAAAAGUGACUUAACAGUCAAGAGCACUGGCUGAUCUCCCAGAAGACCCAUGUUCAGUUUCCAGCGUGGAUGCAGAGGCUCACAACUACUUGCAACUCUACUUCCAGAGGAUCCAUUGGUAUCUUCUGGCUUCCUCGGGGAACUAGGCAUGCAUGUGGUGCACAGACAUACAUGCAGGCAUAUACCUGUACACAUAAAAUAAAAAUAAAUCUUUUUUAAAAAUCUACUUAAUGAAAUAAAAAUCUUCCCUUCAUCAGUAUCAAAUACUCUGUUAAUUUCAUGCUCGAUUUCCAUCUGUGUAUUCUUUAGCUCUCUGUAUGAUUCUGUUGAUCGGUCACAGCUGAUUCUUUUCCUAGAGGACGGUUUUAUUUUCUAUUGCUUUGUUUUAUUAUCUGGAAGUGAUAGUCUCUCCCUGCACCCUCCACCCCCCACUAACUCCCUGAAACUCAGAAUUUUUCCAAACAACUUUUACUUGGUUAUUGUUCCAAAGAAAUGUAGGAGUAAUUUUAUUACGUUCUUCUAAAAACACGCUGUUAACAAUUUUGUUCUGAUUACAUGGACUUUAUAGAAAAUUGGCAUGUUUACAAAACUUAAGUCUACCUUAGAGUCAGAAGGGGAGGCCAGCCUAAGCCCUGUUAGACACGCUGCUCAUUUUGUUCUUCAUGGCUAGAACAGCGAGAAGCCAUAAACUUGUAAGCAGGGAGGCACUGUGACCAUAUUAGAAUCUCUAAAAGAUGAUAGCAGCUACAGUGUGGGAAACACCUCAGACAGAGGGUCAGGCACCCCAGGGGGCUGGGGACACGCUUGUAAUAGUUCAAUAGUUUGUACUAGCCGUGGGGAAGGGAGGGGAGGGAGAGGGAAGUGGUAAUAUGGUUUUUCACCUGCCUGUCUUUCUAGAAGAACCGCAGGUCCUUUACAUAAGAAGGGGAAGCCCAGGAAUGCGGCAGGUUAUCAGACCCCUCGCUCGUGCUCUGCUUCGUGCCCUGCUUCGUGCCAGCUGCCAUCCAUUGCUUUCCCCCUAGCCUACAGUUCUCUUCCCUUUGUUUCUUGACCCAAGGAAGUAUCAGAUUCCUGUUUUCUUGCUGGAUUUCUGUCCUUUGUUCCCUUUUGAAGAUUUUUCAAUCAGUGUAUAUUUGUACGUAUGCCAUAUUAGGGUCAGUGGUACUGGUGAAGGCCAGAGGGAUUUGAACCCCUCGAGCUGGGGUCAUAGGCAGUUCUGAGCUGCCCGACUUGGGUGAUAGGAAUUGACCUUGCAUCCUUCAAGAAGAGCGACCUGGCCUCCUAACCACAUCUCUGCAGGCCUGUUCUUCAUUCAGCACCUUUCAUCCAGAAAACACUUACUGAGGAUUACAGUAGUCUUUUUACUCUGUUAUUGUAUGCUUUCAUUUUGACUCAUGGCUCUGCAGGUCAAGGCUGUUGGCCACAUCCGAUGACUUUUCUUGCUGGCUCAGUCCCAUGGCUUGUCGGCUACUUCCUGGCAAGAGUCAGGAGGCAUACACAUGGGCCUCUUCUGUUCUCUCUCCCUCCCAGAAAACUCCAUACCAUUGUUCAGUCAUGAUGAUGGUGACAGGGCACCUUAACUAGUUCUGGCCACUUCCUAGGGGCCUCACCUCAAAAAUGCUAUAGUUAGGUUAAGUUUCCUCCCCAUCCUCCUUGUCCUCCUUAUCCUCUUCCUUUCCCGUUUCUCCGGACUCCCUCCUCUUCUUCCUCCUCCAGCUUUUGUGCUCUGCUGGGCAAAGCAAUGAGUGGACUUCCAAGCUGUCAGUUUGGCAACUAAGUUGAUUUACUGAAUUUCAAAAGAACAGAUUCAGUUGUAUUUUAAAAAGAAAACACUGCCUUCUGUUUUAUGUAUGUGUAAGCAAUUGCAAAUGAUGCUGCCUCUGCUAGGUGGAAGCCAUCAGUGCUUGUGGUAGGCUUGGCAAUUUUCUAAGUGAGCUUAAGUGGCUCUGAAGUGGUCCUUAGCAAACUAUACUUAUUAAUAGUGAGAAGUCUGAGAUUUGUGGAGAAUGUGUGUGCUCACUCUUGCUUGUUGAGGCCAGAGGCGAGUCUUGUGUUUUCCUUUAUCACAUUACAUUAUGGUGAGAGUUUUGUUUUGAAUUUUAAAGCAGUGUCUCUAUAUAGCCCUGGCUCCUGGAACCGACCAAGUAGACCAGACUACUCUCAAAGAGAUCCUCCUACCUCUGCCUCCCAAGUACUGAGGUUAAGGGGAUGUAUUAUCACUUUUGGCUUGUGUGCGUUUCUCUCUCUUUUUUUAAAAUGAUAGUUUGUAAUUUAUUGUUUAUGGCACCUCCAUUUAAGAAGAAAUUAAUGCUAAGCUUAAAAUUUUUAAUUUAAGACUUAAACAAGAUCGUGUAAUAUUAUAUAAUAUGAAGGUAUAUACUUAUAAAGUGAAAAUCAUGUUGAAUCUUUUGCAGUGUCUUUUUGAACUAUGUUUUCCUCCCAUUGUUUUUUAAAGGUUAUGUUCAAGGAUUGAAACUGAAGAGUAUCUCGUAGAAAAGCUGGGAAUAAAAUUUUACUUAACCAUACAUUACGCAUUUUCUUAAGUUUUCCAUUUUUAAAAGUUGUUUAUUAAUUUUUUGCAUACAUGUAUGUGUACCCGUAUUCGCUUGGGAUGUCAGAAGAGAGCGUUAGAUCCCUUAAGGCUGGAGAAGCAGGCAGUUACAAGCCACCCAGUGUUGGUUCUGGGGACCAAUCCAGGCCUCCACAGGAGCGUCAAGCACUCUUAACCAUCUCUCUGGCCUCAGUGAUUGCUCUUCUAAUAUGAGUUGCUACUAUUCUGGCUAGAAUCAAAGAACAUGGCAUUUCCGGUUUAUAGAAUUAAAUGAGGCCUGUACCUGGGCCUAUCAAGGAGUUAGUGCUGCCUUCAGAAUGCUGUACAUCUGCAUAGUACGGAGGCUUUGUUGCGUACAGUGCUUAUUCUCUGCUGACUUUGUUCUGUAUGGGAAACCUUUGUUUUGACUGCUUCUGAAAGAAUCAGGAAGGAAAUGUUGAGAAGCUUUGGAAAUUAGGAGACUUCUGGUUUUGCUAUUUUAAAGUAGAAAGAUUUACAUAAGCAAUAAAUUCUGAUUAUAGAAGGAAUAGCAAAGUAUUUAAUUCCAGUGAGGAAGUAAGCUGGGCAUAGUGAGUGGUUACUUACAAAGAAAAUCUGGAACGGGGUGUGGCAUCUCAUGCCUGUAAUCCUAGUGCUUAGGAGCCCGAGGCUGUAGGAUCACCAGCUAGUUCAGGGCCUGCCUGGGCUAAGCAGUGAGAUCAAGGCUAUCCUGGGCUACAAUAGUGAGAUCCUGGGGACUAGGAGAGAAAGGAGAGAGAGUGAGUGUGUGUGUGUGUGUGUGUGUGUGUGUCACUGAGACUAAAUUUACCUCUCUGUUUAUUAAGUGUUGGGAAGAAAUGUUUUAAAAUAUCGUAAAGUAUUCCUAAUAAGUGUUUGUAGUUUUUAAAGAUAAUAAGAGAAAUAUAAUUUACCACAAUGGAACUAAACUUUGCCGUCUUUUGAAUAUGCAGGUAGGAGUAUCACAUGCUGGUAUAAGCAGUUCAUUAGAUAAAGGCACAUCUUUUCAGUGUACCCACAUUACUUCAUGUAGUCACAUUACACAUUUAAAAAUGUCACUCUGUAGGCUAGAUAUUUAGUCCUACAAUGCAAAUGGUAAUAAAUAUAUUUAUGCCUUUAAUACAUUUGAAAUUUUUGCUUUUAAUUCCAACUUACAUAAUUCUUUCUAAACUUUAGUCUCUGAAGAGUUAAAAGAUGCUGACUUUUAAAAUUACUUCAAAUGGGUGGUGGCACACACCUUUAAUCCCAGCACUCAGGAGGCAGAGGCAGGUGGGUCUCUGAGUUUGAGGCCAGCCUGAUCUAGAGAGUGUGUUCCAGGACAGCCAGGGUUACACAGAGAGACCCUGUUUCAGUUCCACCCCUCUCCCCCCAAAAAAACCAAACCAAAACUAAAAUUACUUAAAGAUGAGCAUUUGAAAAGCAGUUACCAAGUAGUUUAGGUUUAAAUGAGGCACCGUGCAUUCUCUCAUUUGAUCAGGAACAGGGUAAGACAAAGCAUAUAAGCUCUUGUGCUUACCACGUGUAUCAUAUGUAAUUUGAAGAAAUUUUAGUAAUCCCUAGAAACAAAAUUAGAGAGCUGUGAAUUAGUGAAACUGUCUUAGCAAAAGUGGUCUCAUAUUUUAAGAUGCUGUAUUCUGAUUUAUCAUAAUUCCUUGCCAGAUGUUCUUUCAUACCUAUUUCCAAGUUCACUUAGAAACAAACUGCAGCAGCAGCAGCAGCAGCAGCAGCAGCAGCAGCAGCAGCAGCAGCAGCAGCAGCAGCAGCAGCAGCAGUCUUCUAGUCCCUAGGCCUUUAAAGCUGAAGUGUGAGUGUUCAAAUCUGGCUUAGUCAGCAGUGAGCUGUGACCUCUAGAGUAAGGUUCUUGGACAUUCCUACUCUAGUUACAGUGUUUGAGGAAAUGAAGUCCAGAUACCCUUUUCUCAUAAUGCUGGUUAUAUAAUGCUUGUAUCAUUUUGUGACUGACAGACAUUUAUAUAUGUCCUUUCUCUCCUAACUGCUGAGUGUGGAAACUGUGAAUUUGAAAGUAAAGCUGCUGAUUACACUCAUCUUUUCCCUUCUCAGUGUAUUCAAGUGUAUAAUUUUAUAAUGAUAUUUUUUGAGUAAGACUCUUUAAGUUACAGCCUUAUCAUUGUGGAAUCUCUCCUUAAUUGUCUUUUGAUCGGGGUAGACAUAGUUAAAAAAAACUUUGAAAACUUCUCAAAUAAUCUUCUAAUCAAUGAUGGGUUACAGUGAAUUAUUAAAGAGAAAGGAAGACACCUCAUUUUAAGGUUUGAGGUGUGGUUCAUGUAGAGGGUUCCUGUCCAGGAGAGGGUGUAGAGGAGAAAGGACUUUAGAAGGGGAAGGAGCCAUCAAUAUGAACUUCAUGUGGUAAAGUCUGUCCUCAUUUUAACAUUUAAAAUUGGAUAUUAGUCAAAAGGACCACUGUGGCUUUAUUCUCAUUAUUCCACUCUUGUUCAAGUCAUUAAAAUUUAACUCUCACAUUUCUUGUAGUAAAAUCACCUCUGUCAAAUGCAGGAACUCUGCAGCUUGAACACCUCUCGUUCUGAUUAGAAGGGUUUGUUUUGUAAUUAGUUUUCCUCUGGGCUCUGUGUGGAGAACAGGAACCCACCACAGAGAGGUUAGAAUACCAUGGAGUUUAGCCACUCUGCUUUAAUGACACAAGGGCUUAGCAAAGCAAGAAUAAAUGAGGUACGUUUUUGGUGAAGAAAAAAAUCGUGAACUGACUGUCAGUGUGAGACAGGUUCUAGGAGCACUUAGCCAGCAGUUACAGGGCACACUUGAGUAAUUGGAUUUGCAUAACAAGGCUUGCCGAAGAGAUCUGACAGCAUAGAGAUUUGUCUAGCUGGAGAGCUCCAGAUGGACGUGACCACGCAGCAGCUGGGUGGCACGUUGCUGAGCAUGGACAGCACCGCCCAGACUGGCAGCUGGACCCUGGCGACUGCAGGGCUGUGGCAGGCCAGCUGGUGGCUUCUGACAGCCAGUGGCCCUGUUAGAGAGCCUUUUCAUAAUGGCCUGUCAGGGUACUGGACCUGCAGGGACUGGCAGGACAAUGUCACAAGUCACCAAUGAGGGCUGUUGAGCUGAAGUCCCAGGGAAGUAGAGGUGCUCACUACUGCAGCCACAAGGCUAGCACCUCCUGGUGUGAGGCCAGUGUCCUAGGGAGACUAAGGAUCAGUGGGACAGAAGUGGACACAUCUUGUGAUGUUUGUCUUCUGUCUUUGUAUAUUUGAAACAAAGGCAUAGUGUUCAUGAGAGAAAACAUGUUUAAAGCAGCACACAUAACAUACACAACAUGUACACAGAAAACAUGUACAGCACAAACGGUACACAAAGUGAAGGAACUGUGGUCAUUAGUUCGUUCAGGUGACCUUCCCCACCCCUGUGUCUAGGUGGAUUACAUUUGUGUGGAGGAAUUAAACCACCCAUUUUCUCAGAUUCGAGUCAGCUUGGAAGAAGGCUGGCUCCGAGUCUGCCAUUAGUUAAACUUACGUGUGUGCCUCAGUUGAGAAUUUUGCCAUCUUAUAUAAUUUUUCCUCUAAAAUGUGACAAGAUACUAUAUCUUACUUAAAGGUAGGAAAACUACUUAAUAAAAUGAAAGUUUUACUAUUCUAAGCCCCAGAGAUUUUGAUGUAACAAAAUUCUAGUGAAACAAAAAAGCUCAUAGACAUCCUUAGACUGUCAGCAUUUCAUCUGGCACCCCUGCCACCGUGUGUGUGUGUGUGUGUGUGUGUGUGUGUGUGUGUGUGUGUGUGUUCAGUCUUUUUCUUGUAUUUCAUUUAGUGCUUAUGUUAGCCCAGUGAGUUAGGGUGGCAGGUAACAUCUCUAUUUUAAUAGACUGAAAUGGGGACAUGAAGAAGGCACAUGUAUAGUUGCCUGCCUAGUUGUGGAACAGCCUGCCUGCACUUGAUGACACUGAGGAUGGUCCAGAGAAGCCACAAAUUUUAAACCUUUACGUUGACAAAGGGUUGUGUGCAUGUAUGUGUAUGUACAAAUAUAAACACAUAAUUGUUCUAGUAAUUCUGUUUCUAACAAAUCUAUCACUACCUUCUGAAUACAUAUAAAUAUUUACUGAUAGGGAUGAACUUUUAGCACUAAGACCUCAGGUCUCACACACACUGGGCAAGCUCUUAACUGCUGAACUCCUAUCCCUAACUCUGAGAGCACUGGUUCAUGAUGUGCUACCCACAGGCCUUCCUUCAGAUGGACCAUAAAGUCACAACCAUUCUCCUCAUGAGAUAAUAAUCCUCAUGAAAGGAAUGGUAGAUACUCUGCUCUAAGCAUGAAUCAAGAUGGCCACUUUGUAGGGUUUGUUGUUGUUUGAGUCAGGGUCAUAUGUAGCCCAGGAUUGAGCUCUAGCUUGAGGUGAUCUUGAAUUUCUGAUCCUCCUGCAUCUGUCUUCCAAGUGCCGAGGUCACAGUUAUGCACCAUCAUGUGGUGCUAAGGAUCGAAUCCAGGACAUUGAGCAUGCUAGACAGGCACUCUAUGAGCUGAGCUGCAUUCCCAGCCCCACAUUGUGUUCUUGGUGAUCGUUCAGAUACAGUUUCAUUUAAGAAUAUUCGCAAACAGAGAAGUAAUAACUAUUUUUAUCAAACUUUGAAUACAUCUGUUCAGUGUUCUUUUUGAUGAAAUGAUACAUGUGCACCAAGAUCUUCCGCUGCACUUGAUACAGUGAUGUAAUUGCAAGCUAAACUGGAUGAGGGUUUUUUGUAGAACAUCAUUUUACUUGUAAAAAUGACUAAUGAGAUCCUAGAGAAAGACCUAGUGGAGCCUUUAAUUCGAAGGGAAAAAUGUUGAUAUAUUUCUUGUUAGUUGUUAAAACCAGUUUGUUCAAGUAAAAAAUGAUUUGGACUCUUGUAUCUGACUGAUUUUGAGAGCAUCCUAAGAUGUUUAUGAGCUGCUUGGAAGUGCUGUUAAAAACACGCGUUCCUCAUACUGUGUAAUGGGAAUGUUUGAAGUUUUGUCUAACCCACCAACUUAAUAUGUUUCAAAUGACCAUUAUUUGGUAUUGUAGAAUAGACUGACUUUCAUGUACCAGUGCAGAAAUUCCCUAGUAGCCCUUUCAGAUCCCAUUCUGUAGCUCUGCAGAGACCAUUCAACAGAUCUGGGUUGCUGUCAAGGAAGAAUAGCCAGGGUUUGGAAAGCUAUUUAAGUACUGCUUCCUCUUCUCAUGUUAUCUGUGUUCCUUAUCUACUCACCCAGAGCAUCCACAUUUAACCUGUGCUAAGCAUCCAGCUGCCUUCCAUUAUGCCUGAGCUAAAGGCAGUCACACUUGUAAAAUAAUGUUCUCCAUAAACAUUUCUUUUUUCUUUUUUUUUUUGGAGCUGAGGACCGAACCCAGGGCCUUGUGCUUGCUAGGCAAGUGCUCUACCACUGAGCUAAAUCCCCAACCCCUCCAUAAACAUUUCUUUGUUAUGGUGUUAACAUUUUUAAAAUAAAAACAUGUUAGUAUAUUUUAAGUAAAUGAAGAUAAAUAUUUUAAUUUUUCCUUAGUUUAGUUUUAAUUUCUAAUAUUGCACAUUUUGACUCAUAUGUGUAACUCAUAUGGGCAAAAAACCUUUGGGCUCCUCACUGAUAAGUAAUAAAAUGGAGGGGUCCCAAGAUCAGAAGAUUAGGAAACAUUGGUAUAAAUAACUUGGUGAUGACUUAGAAAUAGCUCAAAUGUCCAAGAAGAAGGAAUAAUUAAUUUUCACUAUGACUUAAAUAUUAUAAAUAAGUACUUGGCAUGGAAAGAGUUAUUUUUGUGAGACAGGUCUCUCACUCCCUAUGUACCCAUGUCUGACAUUAACCUAAUUUUUUUUAACUGUAUAUUUGUUAGGUUGUGAAAAAAGAUUAUAAGAUCUGCUAAUUCAAUUUAAAUAAUUAUUUUAAAAUAUAGUAGGCUUAUAGAAUGUUAAGUGUUUUAUACAUAAUUGUCAUCUAUAAUAUUAAAUAGGUUUCUGUGGAAAGGAAGGUAGAAGACAUUUUGUAAAAGGCAUUGUAAGCCAGGUCUGGUGGCACAUGCCUGCAAUUCUAGCACUUUAGAAAUAGAAGCAGGAGGAUUGCAACAAGUUCAUGGCCAGCCUGGUACACAUAGCAAAGUUCCAGGCCAGGCAGGGUACUUAGUAAGAUCCAAUUUCAAAAAAAGGCCCAAAAAAUUUUUUUUAAGGGGAAAAAGGGUAUGUGUGUGUAAGAAUAAGUGUGUCUUAAGUGCUUGCCUGGUUUGAUCUCUGGCACUGCAAAAGGCAAAUGGAAUGAAUGAGUGAAUGAAUGAAUAUUAGGCUGCAACAUGAGGUACCGUUACCUCCUGGCUUUUGACAAAGACAAUAAUAUUUUGCAUUUUGUGACAUUGGCUAGACUACUCAGCCGAUCUGGUUUUAUACUGUUUUAUAAACCAGGACUAUGAUUACUACCCUUCAAAUUCAUUGGAUGGAUUAAGGGAGGCCUCUAAUACCAUUCAGAGUGUGUGUGUGUGUGUGUGUGUGUGUGUGUGUGUGUGUGUGUGUGUGUGUGUGUGUGUAUUCCUCUAUUGUCUCUUAGUUGUAAGAUUCUGUGUGAAUGUAAUGAAUUUGUAACACUCAGUAACUCAGAAGCUUCCUUUAAAGCCAUGGGAUACCUUUGAAAACAUACGGAUUAUAGUAUUUGAAGUUCACUUUACCACAGGGAGAGAAAUUUGGAGAAUAGUAGCUAUUAUAUAGAAAGAAAAUAGAGGUUUUUUUUAUAAAUAAAGGUUAUUUAUUUAUAAGGUGGUGGUGGUGGUGCACGCCUUUAAUCCCAACACUUGAGAGGCAGAAGCAGCAGAUCUCUGAGUUUGAGGCCAGCCUGGUUUACAGAGUGAGUUCCAGGAGAGCCAGAGCUACACUGAGAAACCUUGUCUUGAAAAACCAAUAAAUAGAUAAAUGUAAAGAGAACUAAUAUUUAAUAGGCUUCAGUUCCACAGUAAGUCUUAGACCAAGUACCUAGCUAAGGAGCUGAGGUAACUGAUAGCUGUUGGAAGAAGGGAGGGUCUGUCUUCUCUAAGGGUGUGGCCCCUGGUAGGUAGAGAACUUCAGUGGAAGGCCCAAAAUCGAAGACUGUAUGAACAGUGCAAAUUAUACCACCAGAGUUGGGUGGGUAGGAAAUGAAAUAGAUGUGGGAGAAGUUGAAGGAAGAAGGUAAAUAUGAUCAAAAUAUAUUAUAUUCAAUCCUUGAAGAGCUAAAAAACAUCAUUGAGUGUUUUCCCCGACUGUAUCCCACGUAGUCCUUAUCACUGUUUUGAGUUAAACACCAUCCAUCACUGUAUGAAAUGGUCCGCGAAGAGGGUGAGGUGCUUGUCCUGGUCACUGUGGAGGGACAGCUGAUUAGAUUUGCCAAUGUAACCCACAGAGUACACUGUCUAUAUAAAGAGGGCACAAGGAACAGCCAGCCCAGUUGUUAACCCUAAGAAACCUAGUGAAUUUUGAGGGAGAAAUGGCCUGGAUUAAAAUGGAUAUACUUCCAAAUAUCUGGGCUAUAAAGAUUCAUUCACAGUAUUCAAUUAAAAUAAUGUGGACAAAACUGAGCACCUGGUAUAGCAUAAGCAGUCAGUAAUCAGAAGCAAGUUAUUACAAAACUUUUAACACUAAGCCAGAAGUUUAAAUUUCUGCUUCUAAAAUAGAAAAAGAGAAAAUAGCCUUAUAGAACAGUAUCCCUUACCUAACCCUGUGGGGUCAAAGGGCUGGUUUUAAAUUGUAGGCAGCAUUUGCAUUUAAUCCGAGUUACACAUUAGUUCCAUCAGAGUCCCAGGCAGCCUUAUAUAGUCUACACAUUAGUUUUGCACUGGAAUGUGUGGAUACUAAUUAAUCCUAAGCCAAAUGAGAAAAGAAAAAAAUCUAUUUUGUAUUGUGGUCUUUGAAGUACCCAAAGAUACACAAAUACAGAGUUCUCCUGAUCUAUAAUAGACACAAGGACGAGGAACAUAGUGGUCAUUCCUGAACAAACAUAAUCAGGGAAAAUGAAAUGUAUUUGAUAUGAAAUGUACAUGUUCAUCACAAUGACACAGAUAUACUGUAAAUGUGAUAAAGUUAAGGAGAAGGGCAGCCUACCUUUGGUUAAAAAAAAAAAAAAAAGAAGAAUAGUUUUAAAGGGAAAGACCCCCAGUGUUAGGAGAGCAAGCAGUUAGUCAGUUACAUGGCUAAAUUGGAAGCAGUGAAGUGAGGCAGCCUCUUCCUUGGCCUUCCUCAUGUGCUCCUCUCCUACUGUACUUACAUCCCACUCUACAUGAUUAGACAGUCUCAGCGCCACGCUUUGUGCCUCUUGCAUCUGACCCUCUCUUAGUCAGCUCCAUCUGUUAUUUGCUGUGGAAUGGCUGGCUGUGUUGGGAUGAAUGGUUGGCCAUCUUGGUUUUGUUCUGAAACUCUGGCUCCCUGGUUUCAAGUGGGAUUAUAGGGCUGCUGGGUAAGUUCUCCCUUGUUCUAGUGCCCACACUGUUUCUCACACUGUCUUCUGUCUUCAGACCUCUAGUACUACUGUUCCGUGUCAGCUGCUGGCCUUCCUCUCACUAGAGAUACACACAUCCACCACCAUGUCUACUAAUCCUGUGCCUUUAUGUGUACAUCCUCGGCCUGCCUUCUGUCAUCAGUGAUCUCUAAAGUCAGCCUCUACUUCUGCUUGCCACCUCUCUUGCUGUCUCCCUAGUUAAAUCUCUGGGAGUUGUUCUUGAUACCUAGUUGGGAUUGAGGCCCACACUACUGGAAUGAUGUAAGCUCCAGUAAAACUAGAAUUUGGGGGUUGGGGAUUUAGCUCAGUGGUAGAGCGCUUGCCUAGCAAGCGCAAGGCCCUGGGCUCGGUCCCCAGCUCCAAAAAAAAAAAAAGAAAAAAAAAAAAAAACACUAGAAUUUGUUUCUGUUCAUGCGGAUUGCUGUACUGUCUGUUCCUAUAACAAUACCCACACACAGUAGGCACCUGGCUUAUGUGGAAUGGAUGGAUAAAUGAAUAAGUAAGUUGGUGAAUGUUUCUAGAAAGAGAAGACAUAAAUUACAGUAUCUGCCUUAGAUAGCACAAAACAUACUUAAUAAAUACUUUCCCUGUAUUCUAUACUCAAAUUAGAAACUAAAAAAAAAAAAAAAAUUAUUUCUUUUACCUCGAAGAACUCUCUACCUGGUUACUAUAGAGAUCACCAUUGGAAACUUUUGGGCAUCAUCUCUAGUUGUUGGAACAGGUUUUGGCACCUGGGAGCUACUUUUCUGGUUUCAAAGUAGUUGAGGUCUUUUCAUGGAAUAUAUUGAUGGUCUGGAUCUGCACGAACCCAAGCUUCUGUCCUUUCUUCUUACUGUGGCCUCUGAGAAGACCUCGAUUAACUGUUUUCUUACUGUGAGAGAGAUGGGGCAUGGAGAUUUUUGUAUUGAGAAAUGUCUAUUGUGAUCUCAUUGUAAUGAAUUGCCUAUCUUUACUUAAAAUCAUAGGAAGCCAAGAGUAGUACCACACACAUAAUCCUAGCACUUGGAGGUAGAGGCAGAAGGAUUUUGAAAUCAAGGUUAGUUUGGGAUACAUAGCAACCCCCUCAAAAAAAAGUCACAGGAAGCAUGUUUGUGUCCUUGACACUUCUGUUUCAUGGGAAAAAAACUGUAAAAAAUAGCCAUAUAUAUUUAAAUUUAGCCUUUCUCUCUCCCACAAGUCCCAAUUUGUAGAAAUGUAGUUGUACAGUCAGGUUCCUUUGCUUCUUGAGGAUCUAUCUAUCUAUCUAUCUAUCUAUCUAUCUAUCUAUCUAUCUAUUUAUCUCGGACGCAGUGCUGUUUGGAUCUAAGGAAGCCCUGGAUUUUCAGGAGCUCUAACUCAGUAGCACAGCAGUAUGCUGUGGAAUCUGUCUUGGAAUCACUGUAUCAGCUAAUAGCACAAUAAGAUACCUAACUUCUUACUUGGUAGUUGAAGUUUAUUUGCUAAUAAAAUGGAACUCAGAGAGGGUGUUCUCUGUGUAACGCUCUGGCACAUACUCCUGUACAAAUCUGCAAAGUAAAAUGGUAAUUGACAAGUGAUGACUCAGAGUAGGCUGAAGAUGUAGCUCAUUGGUGUAGCGCUUGCCUGGUGUGCAGGGUUCCUGUGUCUAAACCCUAGCAUUGUGGAAAGCAAAACUAAACUAGACUUCUAAUAGAAGCAACAACCUUUCCUGUGGGAGACUUUCUGUUUGCCAGACAUGGUGGUACAAACCAGGAGUCCCAGCACUUCAGACACUGAGGCAGCAGGACCCAGAGUUCAAGACCACUGUGGGUCCAUAAAAUAUUUAAAAAGAAAUUUAACUCCAAUAUUGUGCGAAAGUAAUGUGUAAAACAAGAGGCAAUUACUUACUUUACUUCUGUUGACCUUUGGGUAAGAAUUUUUUUCCUUACAUCUUGCUUGUCUGGAAGUCACAGUAAAAAUGGAGUUCAGGAAAUCCUUCUAAAUGAUCAUAGGAGUUUCAUUUAUACACAGAUUUCAUGAAUUAUGAGUUGAUAAUAUAUUAUAGAAUAGUUACUAUGGAGAUCUUGCUAUCUAGUCAUUUGUUCUGUUUUCUUUUUUUAAGUUUAUGUGUAGAGAGAGAGGGAGGGAGAGAGAAUAUGAAUGAAUGAAUGAAUGAAUGAAUGAAUGAAUGAAUGAAUGAAUAUGCUCUUUGGUCAAACUAUUUACUCUUAAAUACUUUGAGCCUAUGUUUUCUGAAAAGAGGUUCCAUGUAACUACAAGGCUGGUAUCCUACCCAAGACGUUUGCCAGUUAUCUGGUGUUAGUUACUAGGGAGACUUCAGACUCACAUCGUCCACUUGUUCCCACACAGAGCUGGGCUUCUGUGUCUUCUUUGAUCCUGUGUCUGACAGUAGUUAGUGCAUUGCAUUUGGUUUUCUGUUUCUUCAUUCGUCUUUAAGCUACAACAGUCCUGGUGCCUCAUCUGUUAAACAGUCUUUUAUGCUAGUAAAUCUUUGGGGUCUUAUAGGACUCUGAGUAUGGGUUUAUUUCUUUCCUUACUAGCUUCAGGCUAGUAAGAACCUGCUUUAUAUCUUAAAAAAUGUCGCCAUUCAAUUGUGGAAAUUUUUGACUUAUUCUGCAUUGUCUCGGAUGUUUUUCUUAAGAGCUGCCGUCUCCUCCUUCAAGUUUAGGGAAGCUGAGGUUGAGUUAACUUGGUGCAGGUAAAGAAACCUAUCGUGAGAAGAAACUUUGUUUUUGCUUUGGGUAAAAAUCAGCUGCCCAGAUUUAUGCUGCACUCACCUUUCUGAAACCCAGUGGUGGGGUGUGUGCUUUUCUGUCCCCAGCAGGAUCUGGAAAUGGUGUUAAAUGAUUACCUCUGAAGCACCACUUUCAGAUUCACGUCCUCUCAGAAGUGGCCUCUUGUGUAAAACAACAGUGAGCUGAGCUGCAAGGGAGGGUGCUCCGAUUGUGUAUGGAAGGAGCCAUUUUACACCAACUUCUGUCUACAGAAGGAAGUAGGAAGUAGAUUUUUGGAGCUAGUCUGGUUAUUUUUGAAACAUAUUUAAGAAGAAUUUAAUAGUCAAAUGGCAUCUUACUGUAAUACAAACAUACAUACUAAGAAAGUUGAUACUUUAAAUGAUAUGAUGAAGUUAGAGAACGUGUGUUUCUUUUAGUUGUAAAAAAUCCUACUUAACUAAUGUCACCAGUUCUUUUCAAACCAUGUAUGUACACUCUGUUAAAGAGCUCCUUAGCUCUGAGGUACUGUCUCAGUCUAACAGUCUUGCUGGCAGAUCUUCAUACUCAGGAACAGCCGAUGUUUAUGAUAUUCUGCUGUGAGGAGGAAGGUAGGGUUUUUUUCUUUUUUUAAGGUCAUCAGUGUUUAGAUUAAUCAGGCUGACAUUUCUUGCUUGUGGGUCAUGAACUGUUGAUAAUAGCAUUAAAAUGGUGAUUCAGUUAUUACAUUAAAUUAUCAGGGAAAACCACUGGCGCUCACCCAUGUGUUCUGCAGCAGGGUGUGUAAGGGGAUAUGCAUGUCUCUUUUGUUUGCACCUUAGAAUAAUUAGAGGCUGAGUCACAUAUUAAGGGAUGCUUGCCAUGAUUUUAGAGAACCAUAAUCAAGAGCUUGACUGAUGUGAGCAAACAGAAGAGUAUAUCACACCUUUUGUAUCCGAGCCCAAAUCGUCUCUUCUUGUCCGUAGCCUUUUGAAACCUCGUCCUAAUGAAUGGAUGUACUUGGGUUGCCGGGAAUAAAAGCCAGUAUAUUCACAGAUAUGUAAAUUGUAUUUUUACUUAAACUAUUGACUUGAGCAUAAGAACCCUUUAAAGGUGUGUGUUCACUCUAAGAGGGAUGGGGCAGAGGGGAGAGAUGGAAAGCUUACACGUGUGACAGACAGACAUCUUAAACAAGAUCCUUGUAUCAGAACUUCUUAGAUGGAUUUUUUUUUUAAAUCCUGGGAUUAAACCCAGGGUCAAGUGUUUUGUGCAUUUGCUCUAACACUGAGCUGUGACCUCGGUCUUCUAGAUAUGCUUAAUCAGCCUUGUGAGGUAAAUAGCAGUUCAGAAUGCAGUGAAUCAGACAUUUCUGGUAUCUUUGAAUUUUAAAGUGUGCUUUUAGCAUGUUUGUGUGUGUGCACAGUGAAUAGAUAGUACUGGGACAGUUCUAUUAAUGUUGCUUUACUUUUUGGUUGGAGUAAAGAAUUCAGUCAGUUGUGAUGUUUUAAUAACUAUCUUAAGCAUUCAGCCCAAGGUCUCAGACAGGUACUCAUUUAUAAUUUACUAAGUAAUGUGCGUCACGUGGGCAGAAACCAUAGGUUUUGGGAGGACUUUAUAAAGAAUGUAUUUUAAGCAGGAAAGCGGAGUAUUUCCCCUUACAGGAAAAGGUAAUUGCCUUAUUUAGGGUAAGCACGUUCUUCGUAUCUUGCUCUUUUGAGAAGUCAGACAGCAUUAGAACGUUAUGGGCCACUAGAGGGCACUGUUUAGUAAUCAACUGCUAAUGAACCAGAACAGUCAGAGGAGCCAGUAAAUUACAUGUGGGUUUUUCUAAUUAUGAAUUCAUAUUUAAUCAUUCAGUGACAAGGUAACUGGAAAUGGUUCUGUGUACUUUCAUAUGUGGUUAUGCUAAUACACAGUUACAUUUCUCAGAUGUUGGUACUCCAUCAUUAGAGUAGCAGGCAUCAAAGGCUUUGUUUCUAAUCUACAUUACUAAUUGUAAAACAUAAUUAACGUUGUUAAUACUUCCACACCUUACAUGGCCAAACACUCUGAAAAACAAAGCUUAAGUGUAAAUACGUGUUAUAAUCGUGUGACUGACAAGCGUAGCGGUUGAGGUGUUCCACUCUCUCCUGUGUCUUCCUGCCUGCCUCACUCUUUUCCCUGCUCCAGCUCUGUUCUGGUUUCUUUUCUCCUUCCUUUGGAUUCCCUUUCCACUUGUGCAUCUGUUAGUUGGUGACUGUUUCUGCAAGCCAUCAGCCUUGAUGAAAUGCCUGGAAGAAUGACUUGCACUGUGUGUGUUAAAGGACUCUAAGGGUGGGCAACUUACGUGCAGCCAAACCAGCAGGAGGACGGGUGUGCUCGUCAGUGGAGCUGCGCUUGUUGCCAGAGAAAAGGCUCCGUUGAGCCUGCCCAGCCAGGAAUCUAUUCAGGAAAAGGCAGAUUUUCUAGCCCCUCUUCCAUGCUAUUCUGUUUCUUGAGACAAGAUCUCACGUAGCUGACCUCUUAAGCCAUUUUGUAGCAGAGAAUGACCUUGAACUUGUGAUUCUGUUUCCACCUCCCAUGUGCUUCAUGAGCCACCACCAGACCUAGUUUUUUAGUGCAUUGCUGGAGAUUGAGCCCAGGCCUGUAUGCUAGAAGAGGUAACCAGUCUACUUCACCUUGAGUGUCCUCCGCUGCCCAUGUCAGACCCUGCCAGCACACUGCAAUACAAUGUCACUUUUAAUGCUCACAUUAAUCUGGUAUUUUUAAUCAAGGUUUUAAUUGUAUAACCCAGCAUGACAGUUCACCUUCUUGAAUUUUGAACAUCUUAACUUUUUUAUGACAAUUCAUUUUCUUUGCCUUCAGACUUGUGUUUUAGUGUGCUAACUCUUGUCUGGAUUACAGACUCAACUUGAACCAAAAUUGGGACUUAAUUAAUUUUGUGUAAUCUAAAAACCCAAAAGUGUGUUGUGUGUAUACACACACACUGUAAAUAUCUGGUAAAUAUUUGGUUUGUAGAAAGUAAACAAUUUUACAAGAGAUUUUAAAACUAGACACAAACAGACCAUGAACUUGAAGAGAUCUUGCAUCUCAAAGCAUCUAAUUUUUUUUUUUUGAUCCAUAGAAAGUCAUCAUUAAAUUGACUGAUAUGUCUAGUUGGGUGAAAUAUCUUGAUUUCCUUUGAAGUAACAGCCAUAAAAAGUGUUCAUUUGUGAACUUUUAGGUUGAUGUUGUUCCUAAUGGUAAAGAUGAAGCUUGUUUUAGUAUCAAAAAAGAAAAACUAUCCUAUAAAAGCCAGGGAAGUCAGUCUUUCUUUUGACACCAAGAACCCAUCUUGUCCUUCCCAAAGCUCAGUACUUCUUCUAGCAGUGCGGCAGAUGAGGCAAAAAUCACACACAGCAAAUAAAGAUGACGUCUUUAGAACCGUUAUUAGCAUAUACUAGUUGUACCUAAUAGUUUUGAUGACUUAAGAUAAAAACUGGGCAAGGUAGUACACGUGUACCUUUGGGAGCCAGAGACAACUGGAUUCCCAAGUUGGAGGCCAGGCUGGUUUACAAAGAGUUCCAGGCCAGCCAGGGCUCCACAGUGAGACCCUGUCUCAAAACAAAACAGACAAAAACCAUUUAAUGUUGCCUGUCAUUGUGUGUGCAUAUGACAUUUAUAGUGGAUGAAUCGCGUGUCAUGACAUGUGCAUGGAGGUAGAGGACGGCCCUGCUCUCCUGCCUCCAUGUGGGUUUUAGGCUCAAGCUGUCAGGUAAGCACAGCAAGUACAUUUAACUGGGGCCACUCUCACUGACCCCAGAUACAUUUUUAGAGACUUUAUUAGCAUAUAUUAGUUGUACCUAAUAAUUUCAAUGACUUAAAAUAAUCUUACUAUGUGUAUUUAUCUUGUGUAUGUAUGUACAUGAGUGUGUGUGUACCACAGCAUGUGUGUGGAGGUCAGAGAAACCACUUGUAGGAGCCAUUUCCAUCUGCCACGUAGGUCCAACUCAGGGCUUCAUGCCUGCUCAGGUGAGCUAUCUUGCUUAUCCAAUUAUGAUAUUUUUGUGCAUGUAUAUAAUGUGUUUGAUCAUAUUCACCCCCAUUACCCUGUCUGGUUCCCUCUACCAUUCUAUUGACUUCAUUUUCCCAACUAGUUGACCAUUUUGCUUCUGUAUGUGUUCAUGUAUGUACAUUUACAUGUAUAUACACACUCCAAUGUGUGUUGGUAACCUAAGGAAUUUACUUUGAAUUGCUUACAGGGACAUGAGUGGGUGAUUGUACACAGGAAUGUAAAUAAGCUUACCUAGAUACAUUGGCAUACCCUGUUGCCAUAAAGUGUACUCAUGCACAGAGUAAAGCACCUUACAUUUUGAUGGGUAAGGGGCCGUGCAGGCAAACCCAGAGCCUCGCCCAUGCCUUGUGGGUUCUACUACUCAUCUGUAUCCUCAGCCCUCAGAUUCUUUGGAGGAUUUUUGAAACAGGAACUCAUGUAACUGGGGUAGACUGACCUCCUAGUCUUCUUGCCUCACUGUACUUUCUAAACAUGCCUUUAGGUGCACUUCACAUUCCUCAGAAGAUAAGGGAAAUAUUCAGAGAUCAAGUAAUUGAAUAGUAAUGUGAAAUCAAAUUGAUGAAUAAACACAGGAAGUUUAACUGCCCUGCAACCAGUUGCUGCUUCAGAGAGCCAAGGACUUUGGGAAAUAGUACUGCUGGACAAAGAUCACAGGGUAAUGGGAACCUGAGCCAUGUGUUUACAUAAACUGAGACAGCUAACCACUUGCUCCUUAUAUUAAAAAGAAGAGGAGGAGGAGGAAGAGGAGGAGGAAGGAGAGGAGGAAGAGGGAGAGGAGGAAGAGGAGGGGGAGAAAGAGGAGGAGGAGGAAGGGAAAGAGGAGGAGGGAGAGGAGGAAGAGGAGGAAGGAGAGGAGGAAGAGGAGGAAGAGAAAGAGAAGGAAGAGGGGGAGUAGGAAGAGGAGGAAGAAGAGGGAGAAGAGGAGGAAGAGGGGGAAGAAGAAGAGGAGGAAGAGGAGGGGGAGGAGGAGGGAGAAGAGGAGAAGGAAGAGGGGGAGGAGGAAGAGCAGGGAGAGGAGGAGGGGGAGGAGGAGGGAGCAGCAGCAGCAGCAGCAGCAGCAGCCAAACCACCCCCAAACAGGCCAACCCUCAAAGAGAAAGGGUCAUCUGGAGAUCAUUUGCCUGCUGGUCAAAGAGGCUAACUAGGAACUCUGUCUACCUAGACAAAGUGUGAGAAGCUUUUUAAUAACUCUGAAUCAAUAGAGUUUAAAUUUAAACUAUUCACUCAACUGAAAAAAAACAACUAAUAAGUUAAUGGGCUUCUUAGUAGAGUUAGUAUGAACUAUAUCACCAUAAACAAGUGAACAUCCUCUCUGCAGAAAAUUACCCUCAAUCUGGGACUAUGAGAAUUUACAGAUAGAUAUUAGUAUAGCUUGGUUAAAAGCAGAUUGCCUGGGGCUGGCUCUGACUCUAGAACCAUAGCCUAAGUAAAUCCUUUCUUUUUACAGUUGCCUUGGUCAUAGUGUUUUCUCACAGCAAUAGAAAAGUAACCAAUACGAUACAACGUGGUAAGAAGAGAAAGCAUCUACAUGGGACAGCAGACUGGGAGCAUGCGCCUGUCUGCCUCAUCCCAUGCAUCUACCCACACGUGCAUCCACUGAUUGGUAGAUGGUAAAGUUCAGCCAUUUCAAGUGUGGAGACCAAUGAAUGUCACAGUUAACACACACUGUUUCUGUUCUCCCAGCAAGUUUGCUCUCAUUUCUUCCCUUAGCCAUUUAUCCAGCCCUAGGUAAACACUGAUUCACUGGCUAAGCUGUAACCUUGAAUUUCCUAUAAUAUAAUAUAUUUUAUAAAUACAUAUGUGUGCAUGUUGUCUUUUGUGUCUGUAGUAAACUUGAUAAGAAUAAUUGAAGGCAGAAGACGGUGAAACACUGCUGUCAAAACACUGAGUUAACUGUCAAUUUAGAAUACAGUCCAACAGAAGAUUCCUUCAAGAUGAUGGUGAGGUUCCAGCUCUGGUACAGCGGAGUAAGCAUAUUCAUUCUUUUGUCUCCUGAUGAAUAUGACUAAAACUCUUGGACAGAAUGCAUGCAGCCACUGCCUGAGGACUGUGAAAAGUAAAGGACAGCAAGUAGACUGAGAGGAGAAACAGGACUCAGUCAAACCCACAAGCAAGCUCCCAGCCUGCCCUCAGCCCCAGAGCACAGAUCCUGGCUGCACAUAGGCACAGAAGGAAGACUCCUCACAAAAGAAAAAUUUUAGCCAAGAGCAAGGAAAUCCCUAUAAAAGAAUAAAUGGGAAAGUAAAUUAUUCCUCUCCCUAUCCCCCCCUCCCUCCACCUCUCUCCCUUUCUCUUUUCUCACAGCUCUUGCAUUAGUUUACUCCUGGAGUUUCAGUUUGGUUGUGGCCUUGGUAACCAAGCAGAUCAUGGAAACCUGAGAGGGAGUUCUCCUCUGGCUUCAGUAGGACCAGUGGACAGAGGGGAUAUAUUGUGGCUUUCUUUUUUGUAUUUUCCUUCUGUUGGCCCCAGGGCCAGCCUUAGUUACCAAGCACAAGACUUUCUAGUCAAAGGUUAGGAGGGUUAGGGUUUGAUAUUGGAAUAUUACGGGUUACAGGAGGAAACAUCAUGUUGUAUAUGGAUUUCUGGGUCUACUCCUGGGCCAUAUAGCAGGACUCUGACCCUCAGCAGUACACCAGAGACUUGUCUCUUGAAUGUCAGAUUGUCUUCUGGGAGAUUUGCAUGUGAAGCAGGAGCAAAGAAUACUCAGAGGAUUGUAAAGGCAGGUUGGAAUGUGCAGCCUGCCUCUAACCUGGUUGGUGGUCUGGUGAAACAUACACCCCACACAUUCAAGAUGUACUGUUUUUCACAGAAUCUGAGUAAAUUUAAGGGUUUCAUAACAUGUUAUGUUCCAAAUGUCCAUGUUGCCUUAAAAAGUUACGUGACACAGAAAGACCAGGAAAGGCUGACAAAUUCCCCAGGGAAAAGACAAGAUGCUGGCCACAGAAUCGCACAGAUGUUUCGUAUCAGGCAGAGGCUUUAAAACAGCUGUUAUAGCCAUGCUUCAGAAAGCGAGAAGAUAGAAAAUCCCAAGUCUAAGAAAUAGAAACUUUUAAAAUGUCAAUUUUUAUUUUAGAUAUUGAUUUUCGUUUUGUCUUUUCUGACAGAUUUCUUCCCUGUAACUCAGGUUAGCCUGAACUUGAGCUCCUGUCUCCUCUCAAAUACUGGGAUUACAGGCUUGGGCAACAUACCUGGCUCCUCCCUGUACCCAUCCUCUGUUCCUUUCCCAUUCCUUUUCUUUUUCUGUGGCGCUUGAGUUCCAGGCUGCUCACUUUAAGCUGCUUGAUGUGGGUACUGGGAACCAAACCCAGGUCCUCUGUGAAUAGCAGUGUGCUGUUUCGUUUCUUGCCAGCUUGACAAUAAGUCGGGGUCAUCUCAGAAGAGAGAACCUCAGUUGAGAAAAUGACUCCAUUAGAGUGGCAUGUAGGCAUGUCUGUGAGAUGGUUACUUGAUUGAUGAUUGAUAAGGGAGAGCCCAGUCCACAGUGGGCAGUACCACCCCUCGAUAGUAACAGAGUAAGCUGGGGAGAGCAAGAGAGAAAGCAGCUCUCCUCCAUGGUCCCUGCUUCAGUUCCUGCCUCCAGGUUCCUGCCUGGUGUUCCUGCCCUGACUUCCCUUAAGUGAGGAACUGUAACUAGGACAAGCUAACUAAACCUUUUCCUCCUCAGUUUGCUGGUCAUGGUGUUUAGCACAGCAAUAAAGAGCAAACUAGGACAACAACAGCAGCAACUCAAAAGCUCUUAACUGAUCGCUGAACUGUCUCUCCAGCACCUCUUGUUGGGUUUUUAAAAGGAGGCUCAACUGUCUGUGGUUUAUGAGAGGUCCACUUGAAAACCAUAUAGAAGGAUUAAAAUUAAAAGGAAGAAACAAUACUCAUGUAAAUACUCAUCAAAAGAAAGAACAGAGGGCCGAGAUCAGGCCGAGCACUUCUCACUGAGCUCAGUGAUUCAUGUCUGCACAUUAACUUUUCUUUUUAAAUAAAAAGGGUUUAAUUUUGAUUUAGUAUUGUUUUCCUGAGGCAAAGGUAUCUUAUAUAGCCCAGGUUGACUUCAAAAUCUAUAAUCCUCCUGCAGCUGUUUACUGAGUGCUAGAAUUAUAGGCAUGUGCCAAACCAGGCGGGUAAGAAAGUUUAGGGGAUAUAAAUUUUAUGUAAUCAUCAAAUAACAGAAUUCUUAUAUGUAGGUACUAUGGUUUGUGUGCAUCUCCUCCAGAAUUCAGGAGCAGAAACUUAGUGGCUAACCUGUUGGUAGGAAGAGAUUGUGCUUUUAAGAGCUGUGUGGAAGGCUGGGUAGAGAAGCAGUUUCCUGGCUGUGGGCGAAAGGCCCUGUUUUAGGAGUGGAAAAGAAGUAACUGGGCCGUGAGGGCUCUCUUCCCACUUUAUGCAUGGGGUUUAAUGACUUUGUAAGAGUCAGCUUGUUCUUCUUGUCCUUCCAUUGUCAUGUGCAUACGCACAGUUCUGUAGGUAAAGGGGUCUUUCAUGUCAUCAAGAAGUAUUCUUUUUAAUCCAAAGAUUGAUCUUUUGUCUCCCUCUUUGAUCUUUUAAAGCAUUGUAAUAGCUUUCUUCCUGACAUUGCAGUGAUCAGAACUUAUAAGCAUCUUGUAACUAGAGCAUGCAUAUUUCUGACACUUCUUCAGAAUGUUCUUUUAAGAUAACAACUCAAGAAAAAAUACUUCUUUGUUUUUACUAAAAUUCAUCGUUUCCCUAAGUUCCUUUCUAUAUUAUUUCUCUCCUGCCUGUGAUUUCUGUCAGUUUCUUAGACUUGAUUUAUUUAGUGAGCAUUAUACAAAGAGCUCAUGAUCCAGAAAGAGUAAACAGGUAACCAGCACAAGUGGCUAAUGUCCCUGAUGGUGGGAGGCUGAGUGAUGUGAGAGUGGUGCUCUCACAGGUGGGCCCUGGGGCAGCGUCUGCAAGUAACCAUAAGGCAGGACUUUAAAGAACAGGUUCACUUUUGCCAGUAGGUAAACACCCAAGGUGUGUAUCCGAGUAGGAUGUGCAUGCAGAGGCAGCAUUCCAGGACAGGACCAUCUGAUCAUUUUUUCCUUCUGGGGGAAAGAAAAAUCGAUGUAGUUUGGAAGGUGUGCCAAGUCCAGGGAGGUGAGUGUCAGACGCUAACCUGCAACUAGCCAUGUAAGUAAGGCAGAGGUGCAGGCAUUUUAAAGGAGAGGAAAAAGUUGGACAACUCUCAUGGCAAUGAGUGAGGAUUGAAUGUGUAAGCAGAGAAAGAUAACUAAAAAUGACAGUCUCUUAAGUGAGAGAUGAACAGAUCCAAAACAACAUAAUAACUGAGAAUUAGAGAAAAUUAAAGUACAGUUUUGUUGAAACUCUGCUUUGUUUAAGAACAUGAAAGAAUAUAAGAAAAGAAUGAGAAUGUGCCUCAAGAUGUUGUCUCUAUGAGCCAAAAAUGGAGGGGUGAGUACAGCAGACUGAGUGGUGCUGAUGCUGUCGGGCAGCUGAACUCUGGGGCCGGAAUUGUGCAGCACUGGCUGGAGUUCACUCCCAGAUUUUUAAGAGGAGCAGAAGUAUUCAUCCACUUGAAUAACGGGAUGUGUUGGCUAAUAUUGACUGAGUUUGACAGGAUCUAGAAUCAUCUAGAAGACCAACGUCUGGGCAUGUCUGUAAGAAAACUUCUAGAUUGGGUCGAGGUAAGAAGGCCCACCCUAAUGUAGAUGGCAUCAUUCCAUGUAGGGUCUUGGACUCACUACCUUUGCUUCCUGGCUGGAUUCAGGGUGAUGCCUGCCUUACGUUCUUGUUGCUGUUUCUUCCCUGCUGUUAUGGAUUACAGCCUCAAAUGUGCACAGAAAUAGACUUCUCUUCCUGUCAGAUGCUCUUGCUGGUGUUUGAUGGCCCCAGUGUGGAGUGCAACUCGUUCAGAGGGUCUGAUCCAUUUUCAGAGGCCGGAGACUAGCUGAAGCCUGCUGUUGACUUGCCUAGGGCUGGAGUUUCCAGCAAACUAAGCAUCUUGGUCUUAAAUAUGGUGGUUGAAGGGGCAGCCAGUGAACCAAGUGCCUCUUUGCUUCCUGACUGGGUCUGAAUCAUUUUUAUAGGGCAGAGCUUCAACACAGUAAGAACCAGUCCUAAACCAGAAGCUUGCAAGGCUCCCAAGGCAAUGGUAAAUCACAGAGAGGGUUAGAUGAGUAUCCAUGGUCAGGGUAAGAAUAAGGAAUGGGGAUUGAACAAAAAGUACUUCAUUAGAAACUAGCCCAGAGAGAGCAGCUGCAACCUGGCCAAGAGAAAAUUACUUGCUGAGAAAAUACUAACCAAGAAUGAAAUUUCACAUGAGACUUGACAGAAAUUGGUGCUUUAAAUAGGGGAACAGAAGAUCAUGUGACUAACAUAACAUUUCAUGAAACAAUCCCCACAGAAGACAAAUUUUUAGCUACCUUGAAAAGCAAAUUUAGUAAGAAGUAGAAAAACUGAAAAGAUGUUUCAGUGGUUAGAGCCUCCUCCUGCAGAGGACCCAGGUACAACUCCCAGAACUCACAUGGUGGCUCCCACCAUCUGUCUGUAACUCCAGUUCCAGAGGAAUCUGAGGCCCUCUUCUGGCCCCAGCAGGCACCAGGUGCACACAUGGUGCACAGACACAUAGUCAGGCAAAGCACCCAUAUUCAUCAUUAUCAUCAUCAUCAUAAUACUAAAAUUUAAAAUGUACUUUUAGAUUUUGUUUAAAGAUUUUAUUUUAUGUGUGCUUUGCCUGCAUAUGUGUAUGCAGGUCAUACGCAUGCCUGGAGCCUGUAGAGAAAGGGAAGAAUGCAUUGGAUGCCCUGGAAUUGGAGUUACAGAUGGUUAUGAGCCCCCAUGUGCAUGCUGGGAAGUGGACCUCAGACUUCCGCAAGAGCAGUGCUUUUAAAUGGUGGAGCCAUCUCUCCAGCUCUAACAGUAACAACUUGUUGAAAAUAAUAAGUUGGAAAGAGUUUCUCUUAGUCUUUAGAAAAAUUUAGGCUAUAUGAUUGCAUAUCACUAUAAGCUUAUGCAUCUUUUUGUUUAACAGACUAUGCAUUUGACCACAAAACCUUUAAGGAACUUUUUCUGUUGGGGAUUCUUCAUGGUAGAACGUACUGGGGGGUAGCCCUCAAGUUGAAAGAAACCAGGUUUCAGCCUCUUUCUCCUGGCUGCAGAAUUCUUUUGGUUUUGUUGCUGUGUGAGCCAGGUUCUCUGUUCAUGUUUUUUGGAUUUGUUAUCAGAAGGGGGAGGAUGGAAACCAAAACCCAACUGUGAAUUUCUCUGUAAUUUUCAUGAGGGUCCUGUAGAACUAGUGAUCUGAGGUGCCAAUCUCAGUGAAGGCUCCUAGUACAGCUCCUAGGGCAUGCGAGAGGCUGUGCCUGAGAAGAACCACUUCGGGGUGACUGGAGGACGUUAGAAUGUGCUCGGCUGUGCCUGUGAGCUGCACGUUGUGAGUAGCUCUUGGCUGGGCAUGCCGUCAGGAGGUAGGUCGUGUUAAAGGAUGACGAGCUGAAAGGCUGUUUCCACGGCAGGUUGUUACAUGUGGCUCCACUUUACAGGAAGCAAGACAAGAAAUAGAGCUCUGCCAUAAUUCUCACAAACCAGAUGCAGAGCUCUCUUCACUUAACAGUUAUCAGCACCAAGCAAACAGUUUCCUUUACCCUACACAUGGGCUCGCUGCACACUGCGGAUGCAUUUACUCUCAAGUUUUGGUACUUGGAGUUCACUACAAUAAAGAGAUUGCAGGUGGGUGCAAAAUAGUAAUGUGUCCUUUAGCUCAUGCAGAUAUGGUUAGUUCUCCUGAGGCUGCCUCGUAUCAGUAGAAUGAGACCUGGUAGCUGAGGAGUUAGCAAGAAUAACAGGAACGGGUCCUCAGUGUCUCACAACAUAAGCAGCUGCUUCUUCAUGUGGCCUUCCUUCCACCUGGAAACCAGAGCUCAGGUUCUCUGAGGAUUUCCAAGGCUCAGAGAUGGGCUCCUGGUCAGCCAGGAGUGACUGUUUGCUCAACGUUCUCUUCAUUUCCUGUGGUCUCUUCACUCCAUUGCUGUCAGGUCAUUUUGCCCUUUGCUUACUCGCUUACUCCUCUGGGGUCAUCCUCACUGGGCAGCUGUCGCUUUCCCUUCCUUUAAACAUGUUACAUGUUCUUGAUAAAGUGGAGGAAAAAUAGUUAUCACAUGUUUUUUUGUAGCAAGAUGGUGUGGUGGGGUCCAGGCUGAUGUGGAAUAUGGCAGGAAUUGGAUUACCCAGACUUUAUUAUUAACAUUUUAACCUGAUUACUAAUGCUGAUGAAAAGAAUGUGAAAUGUGUAGGAAAAUAGCCAAUUGCUAUCAUAGAGGAUACCUUUUUAAAAAGACGUUUUUAAAGGGUAAAAUAAAAGUGCACCGGAGUUACAAGCUACUUAAUAAUAGACUUAUUUUGUUUUUCAGUUAUUCUUAAAGCUGAAAGAUACAGUAGUUACAUAACGAAUUUUUGCUUUAACAGUAUUGGAAUGUGCUCUGCCACUCUGUGCCCAAAGACAGAGCUUCAAAACUCAGAGUUCUCCACAGGGGUUGUCCUGGUUCUCUGUAGACUGCACAUUUGGUUCUUAGGAGCCUGGAGUUUUGUUGCAGUUCAGCACUGGGCACCGUCUCAGUCUGGGCAGAUGUCAGGGAAUUGUUCUUUUAAGUGAUUUACAAAAUGAAGGUAAACUAUUUUAUGCUUUGAUUGCCCGCUAGUUAAAUCCCUCUCUUCAUUUUUUCUGCCUUUCUACAACACCUUGGUCCUUCUCAAAGCCAUGCUAACACCACACAGAAUAUUCUGUUGCUCUUUCAGCAUAAGCAGGGCUAUUGUGAUAUUUAUCUGAAUUCAAACAAGGCUAAUUAAAAGAGCUGCUGACAGUUGUUGUGAUCUGACUCUGACUGCAGCUUGAUGGUCGUUAUGGGUAAAUAAUGAACCAGGUCUGCAAAUGUAGCAGCUGCCAACGUGGGCUAGAAGAACGGCCAUUGCUUCCAAUUUAAGGAUCUAUCGACCGCAUCUCUUCUCCCUGCAGAUCUUCUGCAGAAAACAAAUGUUUUCUGCUGCUGUGUAUUGUGGUUUCAGCUGUUUCAGAUAUAGCCUAUAAUUUCCUUCUUUAAUAUUUAACUUAGGACAUUAUUAGCUUUCAGAGUUAACAACUUUUAAAGAAGUUUGGCUUUGUCCUUGUGACUGCCGUGACCAGCUAACCAGCUGUGGCUGUUUAUAUGCAUUUAAUUUGUACAUUAUGCGAGAAGUAGUAUAAAACAGCAAGGUACGACUUAUGGCAGUGUUUCAAAAUCCUUCGUAGAUAGCUUUUUUUGUUAAAAGAUGGACGCAUGCCCGUUGCUGCUUUUGUUUUCAUAAUAGACGCCUCCUGCCAGACCUUGAGUUUAGGUUUUGUUCACUUCUUUAGUGGCUUUGAAAUAAUUUGAUAUGUGCUGUAUUUAUCAAUUCAGCAUAGCUGCAGUGGCUUUCAUUAAAAUGCUAUAGUGACUAUAUUGUCGCUCCAUCAUGAGUGUCUCCUUGUCCUAUUAGUGAGCAGGAGCAUGUACAUUAAAGGUGGGCGAGAGCAGAUUGCAUUCCUAGAUUAAUGUACUCCCCUGCAGAUUUCCUACACUUAAGAAUGCAGCUUCUGGAUCUAGUAGUUACAAUCUAGGAUUUCCAACAGGCCGGUAGGUGCUGAGCACCAUCCCACCACCUAGUCAGUUGCUAUGGAAAAGCCUGUCUGCGUUACGGAAAGCCCGAGGAUACAGCAGUGCUUUGUGUACAAUGUGGCAGAGCUUCGAGAUCUUGCUGGGAGGAAAUAAUCCCAACAUGCCCCUGGAAGGGGAAUCUUACUUUGAAAAAUAAUGGUGAAAAAUUGCUUAUUUUGCCAUGCAUUUGUCUUUGUUUAUUUCAGGAAAAGCUAACCAAACUUUGUUUAUCAGAGUCCGGAAUAGCGCUGGGAAUGGUCUGCUUUCUGUUUCCAGCCUGGAUUAUGCCAGAAGUAACGUUAACAAGGGGUUAUGUUAUGCUGGCUUAUGUUAAACCAGAUCACCCCGAACAUGUGCAGAGCCAUUCAUCUGUGUCACCAAAACCCAGGA